UACUCUUCAUUUAGGGGACUGAUUAUAAGUGUGACAUAGUAUUUUAAAUCAAAGGCUUAAAUUUGUCUCUCAACUUCUCAUCCAUAUAAUUUUAGGAAACUUCUAUGAAGCAAUGUGAAAGUUGUAAGGGGAAAGUAAUUGUUGUUCAGGUGGAAAGUCAUCAUGUAACGUGCCAUUGUCAUUUUGGCUAUGAAACACUAACACAGACACUACCGGACACAACGCUAACACCGGGACGUCGACACUAAUAAUAAUUUGAGCAAAUGGAAAUGUUGAAUGUAACCACAUGUGGCAGUGUUUUGUCAGAAACCUGACACGCCUUCAAUCUAAAUUGUCAUUGCUACAUAACUUCUUGGUAUGGAAGGUAUAUAGUAUUCAUAUUUUUAUCACAUGGACUUCAUUUAUUUUAAAAUUUUGAAAAACUAACAAGCACUUGCAUGUCAAUUCCAACUUUUCUUAGAGUAAUCGUUUUUUCCUAAAGCUCUUUCUUACAAUGAUGCCAAAGAAAAGCUACAGCUGUACAAAGUGAGAUAUUUCUAAGACUCUUAACAAUACUAGAGUCACUAAUACAAUAGACUAAGCUUAAUAUAAACUGACUAAGUCUAAUACUCUAAUACGGGAAAACUUCCAAACUCGCCCAUAAAUUGUAGAGCCUUACCAAUGCAACAAUUCACCCAGAUUCAUAGCACUACUCAACUCCCUCUCUCACGUUAAUUUAUAACCACUGUUCAAUUCAUCAAUUCUACAAGCUUUCAUUUUUAUCUACUCUGUUUUACCCAAUUCUACUCUGAACCCUUCCCUUUGCUCUGUGCAAUCUGCACUGCUCUGUAACAACUUACCAUCACAUCAAUAUUUUUACGUGUGAUAUGCUACUGUUUUAGAGUUGUUUUAUAAAUAUUGUUGCUUCAUAUGCAUAUGUAUGAAUCGAUAUGCAAUGUAUAGGAAUUUAUAAAUUUGGUAGGAUCUUACGAUCCGUGUUACAAUCUCCCAAUUCACGAUCUAGUGACCCCUCCCCGAUCUUACCUAUGAUCUCGAGUCUGACUAUCUUACAAACAUAUAUACUUUAAUUUUAAUCAAAAUUUCAUGAAAAACAUAGUUCAUAAUUUAUACAUGUUAGCGCAAUAAAAACAAUAGAUAGACUCGGCCCGAUUGAACCUUAGCUCCCAAUAAUUUUUAUUGAAUGACAAAUGUUAGUAUGUUAGUUAUGAAUGGAGAUUGAACUCUCUAAACCUACUUAUCACUCUACUCCCUAACCUAAAAUCUCCCUAAUAACAAUAAAAUAUAUGCAACCAAGUAUUGAAUUAGCAUGAUGAAACAAAUAUAAAAGUUAAAUCUUUCAUAAGAAACCAUUACUCAUCAUUUUUUUUACAUCAAUUCUCUACAUUUUCCAGAAUUGAAGAAAAGAUAAGAUUGAAAUCAUGAUUUGACUAAUAAUUUAUCCAAAAAAAAAAAAGGAAAAAUUAAGAAAAUUUAAGCAUUAAGAAACGAAAGAUGAAUGAUAAAAAUGAUGAGAAAAGAAAAAGGAUUGAUAUAUGGAAUAAACCUCGGGAGGAGAAGAAGAAGAAGCCAUGGAAAUUGAGAGUGUCGAUUUCGGUGAGAAAAUUCAAACUUCAAGAACGCGUGUGUGUUUACCUGGGUUUUUAAUUUUUUGUAUUUUCUUUAUUUUUAUUUUAUUUUCAUUCAUUUAUUAGACCGGUUUUUUACACUUGAAAAACCAAAGAAUAAACCUAGACGGUUCGGUUUAAAGCAAUUGUCAAAGGCACCCGACCGACUCGGCACAAUCCAAAUGUAUGCAUUUUUUUAAUGAAUUUUGUUCAUUAGGCUCUUUCAAUUAGUGGUGGAGCCCCUUUAAGCAACUUUGAAAAUGAUAGAGAAUUAGUGACAACUACAUUCAAACACAAUAUUCAUACACUUUCAGUUUCAAAAUCAAUCAUCAUUCCAAAAAAAUUAGUAGUCCCUCCGUCCCUAAUUAUAAGACCCUUUUGAGAAUAUUUUUUGUUCCUUUUUAUAAGACUUAUUUUCUAUUUCUAACUACAUUAAUUAUUUCUUUACGUACAUGCCCCUAUUUAUUGUACAUCUUUUUCUUCUAUCAGCAAUAAAUAGAAUGUUGAAAACAUAAGCCAACACUCUUUCUUAAAGGAUAAAAUUGUAAAAACAAUAGUAAUUACAAACAUAUUUAAUACAAAUAUCCACUAUCUUAAUUCCCGUUAUUUUUUCAAAAUAACCUUAUAAUUAGGGACAGAGGUAAUACAUAAAAUUCAUACAUAUUCAACGUCAAGGUGAAAAUACCAUUAUACUACUCUAGUUUUAAAUAUAAGCAUAAGUCAGAAUGUAUUUAAUCUUUAUUUACUCUAUAUAUGUUUUGACUUUUACUUAUAUUUAAAAUCAAAGGGAUAUAUAGAUCGUCGUAAGUGGUGCCAUUUGUCAUUCCAUCCAAGACCAUGUUCAUCACCAACCUGAAUAGCCGUAAAGUAUCCACAAUGGUUGACACGUGGCACCUCACUUAAGGGAUGUGGGUGUCAUGUCAGCAAAGACUAAGUUAAAAGUGGUCUUGGGGGCCAAAACUGUCAAAGAUUCAAUACAUAGGGGGUUGUUUUGUAUUUUAAUUAGUUAGGGGACCAAAAUCGCAACUUUUGAAAAAAUAGGGGGCCAAAAGUGCAAUUAAACCUAAAAAAAAUAGGUUUAUUACCUUCUUUCUAUUGUUAGCUUUACUUAAUAAAUUAACUUAUUAAAAUUUUAUUUAAUCAAUUAACAUAGAAGAACCUCUACAAAAUUCGUUAAAUAAAAACCUCAAAAGAAUUAACAUAAAAAGAAAAUGAUAGAUGACGAAAAAAAUGUCCCAAAUAUAUCAGCCCAUUAUAUAAAUAAUUAAUAAUUAUAUUACUCUCAUAUUUUUAUUGUUAAUUUGAUAAAUAAAAAAUGAGAAAAUUGAUCUAUACACACAUUAAAACCCAUUGUGACAUAAAAUAUCCAAACAACAUCUUACAUACAAAUUACUUAUGUUUAGAAAGCAACCAAACAUAAAUCACUUUACGUUCAACUCACUUUUAACCAAAAUCAAUUCUACAAAAUCAAUUCAAUCAAAAUCAAUUAUCUUCACCGCCCAACCAAACACACGCUAAGUCUAUGCUUUCAAUUACCUUUGUGGUUGUAAGACCCCACACGCAAGGAUCAAUGUGUGACCAGCACGUGCAACCAAACAUUAGAGAGAUAGACCUAGUCAACUGAGAUGGUAUAGACCCCACACGUAAGGAUUACCAUGUGAUCAACAUGUGCAGCUUGACGAUCGAUUGGGUUAGUAACGUCACAACAACCUCAUCACUUGUAUAGACUACCUAAGAUAAAUAAACGCGACAAUAUUGUUAUUUAAUAUCCAACAAUAUAAAUAGGGGGGAUUCGAAAAAUCCUAACCGCUGUUUACUUUUCUUAAACCAAAACAGGUAACUGCUAUGUUUUAAAUAGAUAAAAACUGCAAAUCUUUAACCUUUAACUCUUUUAUUUUAUCGUCAAACUAUAAAUAAGUAACGCGAAUUGUUUGGACAAAACGACAAUCCAUGUGGAUAUGAUACUCUACUUAUCACUUUAUUACUUGGUAAACAAUUUGGUACACUUGCCCAAUCCACACAUCACUAUCCAACUACAAGGUUUUUGUGCAAUGAUCCUAUAAGACUUCAAGCAACUACAAGACUUUUGUGUUACGAUUUUCACUUCCUUCGCAUACUCAUUUCCUGUCAUUUUUGUAGCUUCUGACACAUGUGUAAUCAUAUGAACUCCAGUAAAUUGAAUAAAAACCACUAAUAAAAUGAUAUGUAACCCAAUGUCAUCUAUGGUUCUGCAGCCUGUGAAGUCAAUGCAUCAACAUCGUCCGUAACCCACCUACGGCGGUCCCCGUUUAGGUGGAGUAUUUGUUGUUGUACGCUCUGCGUAUGGAGCUAUGUUGGGUCAUCCUACCAAGUCUCAACCUAUAGUCAUAUACAACAACCGAUAUAAAAAUAUAAAUUAAACAUUCUUUGAAGCAUUUCAUCAAACACUUAGAUCACAAAACAAACAUACAAUUUCCAAUUUAUUAUUUCAAUUCUUAUACUACCAAAUUGCACUAAUACUUAUUUUAAACUACAUUUAUAGUAAAAUAAACCUUCUAAUUGACCAACAAGUACCUAAAUAACUAAACAACAUUCAAAUUCACAAUCAUAUUUAACAACUUCAAAAUUCCUAACAUAUAAAAUGUGAAGGAAUGUGCAGACUUAGAUUUUGAACACUUACUUGUUGUUUGAGUUUGAUUUAUUGCUAGAAAUUGACGAUUUUUUCUUGAGUUAAAUUUGUUGGAAUUUGAAGGGAAAGGGUAAGAAAAUGGGUUAAGAACACAAGUGGUAACUUUUGUUUUUGUUUCUAUAUGUAUAAGUGCGCAUCAGGGCGUAAUUUAUAAACUUGAGCGGUUAGGAGUUUGGGACCCAAACCGUUUAGGGUUUACGAACCAAGGGAGGUAUUUUGGGUAGUUUGAGUGGCAUGUGAGUAAUUUAAGGGACCUAAUGAGCAAUUUUUGUUUCGAAUUGGAUUGAGGCCCGGUCCAUCUAACAAAGUGGCCCAACCUGCGACUACUUGCUAACUGAUUGGUUAGAUAGAAGUUGAGAAGAGAAAAAUUUGAUUACUUUCAAUAUAAAAAAGUAAAAAAUAAAAACUUAACUGAAUCUAUCUAUUGAUUCUAUAACAAUAUAUAAAUGGGAUACACUCUUCAAAGUUGGAAUUUUUCCUUCCAAUUUCACCCCUUCAUUAAAACAAUUUUAUCUAUGACAAUAUUAAGAAGAUACAUCCUAUUGAACUAGAUUAUAGUUAAAGUGUGGGUAACGAAUAUGUUACAAAUAUUAAAGAUGCUACCCAUGUGUUCAUGAGUCUGAGCAUUUUUUUUUUCAAACUAUGGAUAUGAAGUAAUACCCUACCCGGAUUCUACCAACAUCCCUAUUUGUGAAAUUCUUGUAAGAAUCAAAUAAAAUCAUAUGAAUAAUGGUUUGAACUAAAAUUGUAGCCCCAAAAUGAAGACUACUUCAAAAAAUAAAUGUAUAUAAGUAACGAACACACGAUAUUCUUUAGAAUAGUUUGCUAGGUGUUCAUUACACGACUCCUUACCAUUGUACUCCGGUGUUGAUGUCAAACUAAAAUUGUAGCCCCAAAAUGAAGACUACUCCAAAAAAUAGAUGUAUAUAAGUAACAAACACGAUAUUCUUUAGAAUAGUUUGCUAGGUGUUCAUUACACGGCUCUUUACCAUUGUACUCCAGUGUUCAUGUCAAUUUAUAUAAUAGCAUGUCACAUAAACAAGUGUCAAACAAAAUAAACAAUGAAAAAGCACUUGAUUCCAAAACAAAAAUACAAUACAUCAAAAACAUAUAUCAAUAACUUAUCUUAUUCAUUUGUUCUGAAAAAUUAACAUAGGAAUUGUAGUAUUCAAUCAACAAUAAAACUUUAAGCUUUUAUUUUUCUUAAAAACAAGACCAAAUUCAUAACAAAACACAUAUGAUAUCUAGUUUCACAUCAUCUCAAUCUGGCUACCACGCUUAUUCUUCGUGGUGGCCGCAACUUCAACAUCUUCAUACAAAGAACUUCCAUAUUUUGAAUUUGAAUUCUCAUGUUUAUCACCUUGACCCCAAAUUGCAUAAGCUUCUUCACCAUGAGCAGCCUCGUCACCGAUUUCCAUAUCCUCUUCAGACAUUCUCAAUGGAACGAAGAGUCGAAUGAAGAGACAUAUCAAACUUGUACUUACAACAUUAACAAAGAUAACAAACAAAAUUCCAAGGAGUUGGAUUCCUAUUUGCCUGCGUCCAGUACUAGCCAUGUUCAUUUGUAUUCCAUAAAAUAGACCAACAUAUUUAUUGUAAACACCAUAGAACAAGGAGUUCAAUUUUGGCUCAGCAAAAAGACCAGUGAGAAUUCCUCCAAGACUUCCUGCAAUUGCAUGAGUGUGUAACACUGCCAUUGUGUCAUCCACUUUUUGAAGUAGCUUUGAUCUUUUGUGGAUUACCAUCAUGGUAAACCAUGGAAUUGAGCCGGAGAACAACCCCAUUAUUAGUGCUGCCCAUCCUUGUACAACUCCUGAAUAAGAUAAAAUAUGUAUGUAUCAAGGUCGGCUAAACAUAUGUACUAGUCACGCUAACGGUAAGAAAUUUAUAAAAAAAAUUUCUUCCUGAAACCCUAAACCUAAGCAAGGGUUUGGACCGCCUUAUGCAUGUGCUUAGUGUUUAUGCAUUUUAAUAAAAUGUGCAAUGUAUGUUGUACCAAAAAAAAAAGUGUAAUGUAUCUAAAAUAAUCUAUAUAAAUAUAGAGAUUUCAUGGUUACCCUUACUUCUACAAUUGUACAUUUAGAAAUUCGUGGCUAAUGUUUUAUGUUUAGCUAUGCAAGUCAUCUAAUUAAAAUAUAACACAAAAUAAGUAAGAUAAGUGGAAAAGAAAAAAAAAUUAGGGUGAAAUGGAUAUCCUCUGGAGACAGCUCUAGAGCGUAAUCGCACGAGUAAGGUAGGACCAAAAUGAGCAAUAAAACUCUCCUUUCAUGAAAGAGACAUGAACCAUCUUAUCCAAGCGCUCUUAGUUAUAAGUGACAAAAUAUUAACUAAUAUAAAACAAGUACAAAAUAAUCCUCGUAAAUAUUGGAUUUAAAGGGGAAAAAAAUAUCUUGAAGAAUGAAUGAAAUAUUACAAACCUGCAGCAGGGGUAAUGCAAACCAAACCAGUAAUCAUGCCUUGAACAGCACCAAUAACAGAAGGCUUUCUGAAGAAAAUGACAUCAAGGAAGACCCAAGUAAGCAAGCUAGUAGCAGUGCAAGCAUGUGUGUUCAAGACAGCCAAUGAAGCAUCCAAGCCAACUGAGUAAGGAUCUCCUCCAUUGAAUCCUGUCCAUCCCAUCCAUAAUAGUCCUGCUCCUGCUAACAUAAGAAGGAGAUUGUUUGGUGGGAACCUUUCCCUGUCUUUGUUUAGACGUGGUCCAACCUGUCGAAUGAUGGCAUAUAUUCAUUAUACGCAUUCAGAAUGAUUUAUCAUAUGUGGCUCGAUGUUAAACCGGGAAAGAAAGGAAGAAGUGCAAUACGAGGACUUUUAAAAAAAAAAAUUUAUUGAUUGGAAAUGAUUAGUGGUUAAAUAAUUAUAGGGUGAGUGGGAAUUCGUUAGUAGUAGGGAUCGAACCAUGAACUUUCUUCUUAACAAUUCUUCUACGUCUCAAUCCAUACCACUAGACUCGACCUUUGCAAACUCAAGAUGUCACUUAUUCUUAAAUUACUUUCACCUAAAGACAUUUAACUACGUUGUUCUGAUGAGACCUAAUUAAUGCAUUAGUGUCGAUCUGAUCUCACCUAGAUAAGUUGUUUUGAAUCUACAUGAAUGUUCUGAUGAGACCUAAUUAAUGCAUUAGUGUCGGUAUGAUCUCACCUAGAUAAGUUGUUUUGAAUCUACAUGAAUUAGUUUAGUUCAAUGAACUUUGAUAUUUGAUUUGCAUUUUGGAAAAAAGUAAACUUUUUUAACCAACGACCCUACACUUGAAAUUGUGGUCAUCCUAAGGUAAAGAUGUAUCUAAUUAAAAAAAAAAUGGCCAAGUUAAGAAAUCAUAACCAUAAGGAGCAUUUAUAUGUUAUGUGACAAUAAGAAGCAUAUAAUUAUGUGUAUAGCUAGACAACUUUCACAUAAACUUUUUAAAUUGUUUAUCCAGUUCAAAUUUGGUUAAUUAAAAUCAAUUGGUUAAUAAAUAUAAAAAGUAUUGAAGCUCGUUACCAUCAAUGUAAUUUGUUUUACCGAAAAUUUGGAUGUGAUUAACCAUAAUGUUCUAGUGUUCAAACUACAAGUAGAUUUGAACACAAAAUAGUGGUUAACGAAGUUGCAUCGACGUUUAAUAAGUUAUAACAUCUUGUAUAUAACCAUUAGCCGUCAACCAAAUAUAAUUAACUUAUUCUUUUAACUGCGUUAAAUAUUUAGAUUGUUGUCGGAAAAAAAAAAUUCAAAUUUUUAGUCAUUCAAUUAACACAACUUAUAUAAAAAUCUUGUUACUUACCCAAUAAGCAGCAGUAAACCCAGCAACCCCAGAAGACAAAUGAAUGACAUAACCACCAGAGUAAUCGAUAAUUCCCAUUUUAGCAAGAAAUCCAUUAGUACUCCAAAUACUAAAAGCAGUAAAAGUGUAAGAGAAAGUGAGCCAUAAAGGCACAAACAUCAUCCAAGCAUAGAAGUUCAUUCUCCCCAACACAGCACCAGCUAUCAAAAUCAAAGUAAUAGCAGCAAAAACACAUUGAAAAUAAAUCAUAGUAGCAUUUGGAAAUGCUCCUAAGAAAGCUUGCUUGAAAAGAUACUUUUCAUCAAGUGCAAGUGCUGGUUUACCCCAAAAUGGAAAAAGUGUAUCACCAAAUGACAUUCUAUAAGCCCAAAAAACCCAACAGAAAAAUACACAUGCAAAUGCAUAGAGUGACAUGAAUGCUGAAUUCACUGCCCAUUUCUUUUUAACCGCGCCACCGUAUAAAAUUAUUAGUCCCGGAACACUUUGCAUGCCGACUAAUGUUGCGGCCAUUAGUUGCCAUGCGUUGUCGGCUUUGCUUAGCCAUUCGGGACUCGAAGGAGAUGGUAAAAGGUUGGAGGGAAAUGGAACACCAGACAUUUUUUUUUUUUUGGUUAGUGAUUAAUUAGUGAUGGAGAGAUGAAUUAAUUUGGUGAUUAGUGAGGGUUCAUUUAUAUUUGGAGGACAAUGUUUUGAUUCUCACGACUAGCUGUAUUGUAUUGGUUGUUAUUAUUCAUUGUGACAUUUUCAUAGACUAUAUCGCUCAUGAUAUUUGUAAAAUAAUAAUUGAAUAAAAUUUAUAGGCGGGUAUAACUAAUCAUUCUUUUAACGGGAUCGUAAAUGUUCAUUUUUGUCUUGGUGAUACACCAAUCACAACAUGGCUCAUUAAUCAUCAAUCUUAAAGAAUAAAGAUAGCAAGACACCCGUAAGUGUAGCUCAGUUGCUAGCUGUGCAUGGGUUAGGGUUCGAACUCCGAAUUUUCCACUUCUCCACACAUAAUAUUUGUGAAUAUAGUCACUAAGCAACUUGACCAAAAAAAAAAAAAUAGGUAGACAUCCUUAAUGUGUACACCCUUUUGUACCACUCUCGAAAAUUUCAGUUAACCAAAUAUAUGGUAUGUGUGAUCACGUUUUUUCAGUUGCAUGGCUACUAUUUUUUCAGUUAUGUGGUCACAAAGACCAUAUAUUUGGUUAAGUUAAAUUUUUCAGAGUGGUACAAAGGGGUGUACACAUUAAAGAUGUCUAGCUAUCAUUGCUCAAUCUUAAACUCUGACGCGUGAUGCGUAUAUCAGACAAAAUACUGACAUGAUAUAGACACGUCAACACUUUUAAUUUAAAAAAAUCAAGACACUACUAAUACAUGCUAAUUUAUUAUAGUUAAAUAAAGGGUCUUGUUAAUCGAUGCCUCUGGGGUAUCGAUUAAGAAAUCUCAAAGUAGAAUUUUUAUCUUUGAAAUAUAAACUGUUAAUUUUCAUCAAAUAAUAUUGCAUAACUUUUUAAUAAAAAUUUGAAAAAUUGUCGAAAAUAUCAGACACAUUAUGUACAUAUUUCAGAUAUCAACAUGUAUGGCACGGAGACACGUCUAAUCUUAAAAGUUUAUGCAUUUUAUAGCUUAAUUAAUUAUUACUCCUUAUAUAUAGUACCAAUUAUAAUUUGUAUGGAUAUUGUUUGGGUCAUGUUAAUUUGUACCAUUAGGCCGCAUGUUAAACAUUAAUGUCAUUCCAUUAAUGGUAAGAAUUUAUUGAAAAAAUUAAUACUUCCUCCAUCCCAAAUUAUAAGCAAAAAAGACCAACUUUUAUUAUAUUUAAUUAUGUUUUUUAAAAAAAAAAAAAAUUCCGAAGGAAAACUAAAUGCAAAGUGCAUUCAAUUUGUUCUCCUUUUCAUUUUCUCUAUAAUCAACUACCAAUGAAAAUUGUUUUUACAUCUUCCUAUAAAACUUUUUUUUUAACAAGCAAAAAUGAGAUAUAUUAACACGGACACCGUAAUUGUUACUGCACAAUGUGUGCCGAAACAAUCACGAAAAUGUCGAAGUCCAAACAAGAUUACAACCAAGUCAGUCAAUGCCCAAACAUGAAAGCGGGCUCAACCACCAAUUAUGAGUACCAAAGCUAAAUACAACAUUACGAGCUUUUAACCACCACAAAGAAAAUUAUUUAACUUUGUCUAGCAUUUGUGGCAAAGAGCUUUGUCUAUUUCUAAAAAUCCUAUCAUUCCAUACACUCCACAAAACUGAAACACAAAGCAACCAAAUAAAGUGAAAAAAUGAACGUCGCUCUCUCGAACAACCUGCAUAAUUAAUAAAUUACAAAAAAUGAUCUGAAGUUGAUUGAUAGUCGAUCUUCCUAUAAAACUUAUUUCAAAGAUAACACAAAAAAUUAUGUAACAAACUACUAUGUUUUAGUUUUCUUAAUAUGUGUGAUUUUUUUUUUUGUUGCUUAUAAUAUGGAACAGAGGGAGUAUUAAACAUUUUGAACAAUAAAUUAACACAAUUUUCAAUGCAUAAUUUUUAUUAAUGGGAAAUUUUAAAAUGUGCCCUAAGGGCACAAGUUAACAUUUCCCAUAUUGUUUUAGUCUCAUUAAUAGUAAAAAAAUGUAACUUUAAAGAUAUACUCCCUCCGUCCCAAAUUGUAUGUCCCUUUGGAAAAAAUAUUUGUCCCAAAUUAUAUGUCGCUUUACAAUACCAAUGAAACAUUAAUGUUAUUUUUCCCAUUAUAUCCUUAACUAUUUAUUACUCUAUCUUCUUUCAAUUCUUUAAUUUAUCUUUCUCAUACAACUUAUUAAAGAUAAUUUUGUAAAACAACUCAUAAUAUAUAUUUCCCACACAAAAUUAAUUAUAUUUCUUAAUACGUGUGAAAUGCCUAAAACGUCAUAUAAUUUAGGACGGAGGGAGUAUUUAUAGCUUAAAUGACUUUUUUUACCCUUAUUUAAAAAAAAUUGUUUAAUACUCCCUCGUCCCUAUAUUUAAGCACUUUUUACUCUUUUUUUUUCUUCACAUUUCUUAAGAAAUGUAGUUAGUUCAAUUAAUGUGUCUGUUUUAUGUGUUAAUAUUAGCAAAUUGUCAUUUAUUUGUAUGUAUUAUAUUUGCCUUUUCAUAUUUCGAGACAAAGUUAGUAGUAUUAAUUAAGAGUAUGUUAAGGAAAAAAGAAUAAGUGCAUCUAGUAAUUUGAUAAAUGGGUUUACAUUUAAGAACAAUAUUUUAGUUAAAUACUAGGUUCUUUGAUAUAGGGACGGAUGAAGUAUUAGUGAAUGUAUUUGGUGAAAUUCUUACAUGGUCAUAAACAUUUAGGCACAUCACUUAGGUGCACAAACACAUAAUUUAAUUAUUUUCUCUUUCUACCUUUUCAAAAAUAUUUUUGUGUCCAAAUAGUGUUUAAAUGAUAUUAUUAUUUAAGGGAGUGUCUAAAUAGUUGUGACCAACCAAAUACUUUGUGUAUUUAACGUCUCACAAAUUCCUUUUGCAAGUAUAUUAGAAAAAUGGUUGAAAAAUUUAAAAUACAUUGAUUUAGAUUUUUGUUUUGUUUUCUGCUUAUCUUAGGUAUCAGAAGGAGUAUCAUAUCAUAUAUGGUUAAAUCGGUUACGUUUUCUUUUCUUGACAAGUUUAAUCGGCUUAUUUGAUUCUGUUCAUCAUAGGAAUCUAUACAUGCAUGUUUAUUUUAUUGAUAACGAAUGUCAAAUUGUUUAUAUAUAUAUAUAUAAGUGUGUGUGUGUGUAGAAGAAUGCCAAUAUACUAUAACUAUGUCUUAGUAACUGUCUACCAAUAAGAAGAAUGCAAUUAUAAUAUUCGUAAAAAAAAUUACUUAUGCAUAUGCUGCAAACGGCAAUGUUGUCGUUGCUGUUCUUACAGAUGUCAAGUAUGUCUUACUCUAAUUCUUAGUAUGUUAUUACAUUUUGCAUAGCAAAUGCAUACGAUAGUUGCAUGGGUUGCCAUCUUCUAGCUCUUUUCAAUUUCAGUAGCUAUCUUUUAGACUCAAUUAUAGUAAAAAAAAUGUCAAAAGUUGUUGAACUCCUCAAAUAUAAUUAAAUUUCAACUAAUAUAUCCAUGAAAUUGUUUUCUUAUUAUUAUAAAAUCAACUUUUACAAGCAGAAUUGAGGUAAAUACCUUAAGGUCAAUGGGGUACUUGUAUUGUUGCGGCACUCACCGCCUAAACAUCCUUUGUAAGAGAGACUCUGCACUUUUACCUACAAACUUUAUAAAGUGUUCAACUUUUACUUUUUAUUUGACGUGUGACUUAUAACUUACACAUAAUCCAUCCAUAUAAUAAAGACAGGUUUGGGACAAAAUUAAAAUUAAAUUGACGAAUUAUGAAACUGAAAGAAUUUGUCUAUAUAGAUAGAUUGGGAGAGAAAAAUUUAUUUUUGUCUUAAAUAUUGAGGAAAAGCAAUAAUACUUGUCUACUUGAUGAACUAUCAAUACUACUCCACCAACAUUCUCUUUGUAACUUUUUAAUUUCUUCACUUAUCAAGUAUCUUUCAAUUAUCAUUUGUACGUUUUUCAUAUUCUCUGCACAUCUUGUGUGGUGUGCUGUGAAUAGAUGCUAUUAAAUAAAUUUCAUUUGGCUCUUAAAAAAAGAAAAAGUGAGUUGGUCCUAUACUGACCAGAACCAAGGCAAGGAACAACUCUCAAUUAAUAUUGGUAAUGGUACUUAGAGAUUACUCGUCAAACGACAUCGUAAACUUGGGAGCAAGAGUUAAACCCGCUCUUGAAGAAUAUAAGGCAACUUCUUACCAACUAAAACAACAUUUGCUGGUCAUAUAAUGUUCACUUAACCAUUUGUUACUUGUUGAAGUUAAAAAUAAAACUUAAACAUGCAUGUGAAAUCAGCUUAUUGAAGUUAAAAAUAAAACUUAAACAUGCAUGUGAGAUCAGUUUUUCAUUUUUUUUUUUUUUGUUAACAAAGGUUGUCUGCAAAGAUUGAUGUCUUGAAAUGACUGAUAUCCAUUUAAAAGAUCAACCUCAUCCAACAUGUGUUUUUCCAUAUACAUCAAUAUGAGAUUAAUCUCAAACCAUUAGCUUAAUAAUACAUAAAGUAUCUUUAAAACAACUUGACCAUUGGGUCAAUAAUACAUAAAGUAUCUUUAAAACAACUUGUGUGUGAUUUAUGCAGAGCACAUGACACAUUAAUAUUUUUAAAGUAAUAAUAUCUAUAUAAUCACAACUUUUGCUACAACUUGUUUUUCUCUCCGGUCAAAAUAGACAGAAAAAUAAAGAGUAAAAACAUAACAUGAGUAUUGAAGAGAAAAUUAUUCAAAAAUUGUCGCAAAAUAGUUGUAAAAAUAUCAUUUCUCAUAAUUUUUAUUGACGUUCAAUUUCAUAAGUUUAUCAACGUUAAUUUAAAUAAACUAUAUAAAUGUAUCGAUUGAAUUAAUUAAUUUUAUAUUCUACAUAAAAUUAUUAAUUGGUAUAAGUGUUGAUAUUUGACACUUUAGUGUCAUUUCAUCUUAUCUCACACACCCAUAGAUUCAUUAUAAUAAUGUAAUUUUGUUCAUCUGUGUCCAUCAAAUUCAUUAUGGCAUAUACCACAUUGAAUAUGAUCUACCUUGAGUGUCAUGUCAAUAUAAUGGAUAGUUAAUUACAAAGCCAUUAAAAAUCACAUUCAAUAUAUGCACUCUUCUCUCUACACAAAAUUGUCGAUGGCUCCAUUAGCCACAUAACAUAAGUAAACUAAAUUACACUAUUGUACAAAUCCCAAUACAUUUUACCAUUUCAUGCCUCCAAUUACUCAAAGUACUUGAAAGAUAGUAUGAAACUAAAAACUUCAGUAUCUUCUGCAAUAGACGUCUCUUCCUCCUUAAAUAAUCAAAAAUUGAAUCAUCAGAAAAAGAAAAGAUAGAUGAUACUACUAUUGUGAAUAGUUAAUCAUGAUUCUUCCCGCAGAUGACGAAAUCACGCAAGAAAGCACUUCGUUAUGUACAGCAUAUGCUUUGUUUAAGGUUGGAAAAAAAAAAAUUGAAGAUUAUAUAUUUAGGUCAUGUUUGGAUUAGCAACUGACAUCUCUUUAGGAGAGCUUAUGGAAACAGAUCAUAAUAUGGUCCAUAAACUGCUUCAGCUUAUUUGUAUAAGCUCUCCAAGAUAAUUCAUAUGGACUUACAAGUUGCAAUAACACUCCAAAAUACAAUUAAUUUGAACCAUGAAGCACACAGUCCUAGCUUGUAAGUAAUAUGGAUGAACUCAUGUGAUAUGCCAAUAUAAUACCAAACUAUGAUUUUUUGACAUAACAUUAGAAGAUUAUAAAAUAGGAAGGGUAAUUAAACGUGGGUAAACCAUAUUAGUAUGAAGUCGGGGAUGCAUGGCACCAUACAACCAAAAAUCAAUCUAGUAACAACAAUGUAUUUCAAUAACAAGAUAUUUAAAAUCAAUUAAGAUCAAAUUCUCAACCAACACUUACAUAAAAACAACUUUAAAAAAUCUUGAAAUAUCCACGACUUUUGGCAUAAGUUGAAAUUAGCUUUAUCUAUCUACAUUCUUUUGGAAGUUCUCUCAUUUAAUUUAUUCAUAAAGACCUACUUAUAAGAAUUUUCUUAAAGUGAAAAGGUCUUAUGAGAUAAAAGCAAAUCCAAGACAACCCUUAAUCUAGAAUGUACAAUAUAUCUGACAAGGAACUAAUUGAAGAAAAAUGAAUACCUGUGCCUUCACCAGUGCUCGGUAUUGGAAAUCCAGUGCCUCCCAGCACCAUGAGUUCUCCCCCAACCUGCUCUCCCACCAUGGUCUCCUCCAUCCCAACUACCGUGAUAGCCACCUCUGCCACCGCCUAUACCCUGAUAAUCACGUCUCGGCUUUGCUUUUACAACUGACAAUCGCAGUUUGAUCAAGUUGUAGUGCUUUCCUAUAGCCAUCAGUAUCCUUGAAGUCCAAAUGAGCAAACCUGUAAAUUUUGAAAUUUAAGAUUGGAAUGCAAUACACUCUAAUUCUAGCAUACAUUGUAUUUCAGAGAUUUCCUGCACAGCCACUUAUGAAUCAUCGUUUACACACACAUAUAUAUUUUGAAUCUCAAUGGGAAACCAGGUCACAUACAAGGAGCUGGAGUAUCCCAACGGUGUAUCUUGGAUAGGCUCUGAUACCAUGUAGAAAUUUAGGGUCUAACUCAUUCCUACAAAACCGGCUUGUAAGGUUAGGAGUGCCUCCUUUUUUAUAAACUCUUAUCAAGCGUCAUAUCUAACCGAUGUGAGACUAAAUCCACCCCCUUACAGACAAGCCAACACAACCGACACACCCUCUCUGGAAACUUGAUUGUUGCGCCAUUCACAAUCCUAUCUUGUCCAAUUUUUGUUAUUUCUUGUUACAAUUCUAUCAAUCUUGUGCUUAUAAUUCUACCUCUUUAAAUUUCAUUAUCAUUUCAGUUCCAUCAACUUCAUGAAAAGAUAGAGAUUUGGAAAGAUGAAAAGACAGAAGAAUGAAAUCUUACAUGCAGUGAGUGAGUCAGGAUGAUGAGACGUCCUUGGCGUUGUUGAAGAAAGCAAGAGCACAUAGAAGGGAAGCAAUGAAACCAAAAAGGCAUAAACCAAAGACGAGAGAAAUCCCAGCAACCACGAAAUCCAAUAACCCCAAAACCAACAUCAUCAUCUUUGUCUUUGUCCUUCAGAGACGAUUAGAUCAAAUUCAUGGCUUUUCAACGAACGGUGUUCACAAUCAAACAACAAAACCGGAACAGGAUACGUCAAAACACUUCGUGGUUAUCGUCAUGUGUCGGUCGGAGAAAGAAAUAGAUUUACACACCGUAAAUAAAUAGACAAAAUUAUCUACUCACGUUUUGUGGUAAAAUAGAUGUCGCAUCAAUGGAUACGGAUAAUAUAAUAUUAGUCUCGUUCCCGCCCUAUUAGAUAAAUAUGGUACUCGUGCACGUCUCUAUAUUCGUGCGGAUAUNNNNNNNNNNNNNNNNNNNNNNNNNNNNNNNNNNNNNNNNNNNNNNNNNNNNNNNNNNNNNNNNNNNNNNNNNNNNNNNNNNNNNNNNNNNNNNNNNNNNNNNNNNNNNNNNNNNNNNNNNNNNNNNNNNNNNNNNNNNNNNNNNNNNNNNNNNNNNNNNNNNNNNNNNNNNNNNNNNNNNNNNNNNNNNNNNNNNNNNNNNNNNNNNNNNNNNNNNNNNNNNNNNNNNNNNNNNNNNNNNNNNNNNNNNNNNNNNNNNNNNNNNNNNNNNNNNNNNNNNNNNNNNNNNNNNNNNNNNNNNNNNNNNNNNNNNNNNNNNNNNNNNNNNNNNNNNNNNNNNNNNNNNNNNNNNNNNNNNNNNNNNNNNNNNNNNNNNNNNNNNNNNNNNNNNNNNNNNNNNNNNNNNNNNNNNNNNNNNNNNNNNNNNNNNNNNNNNNNNNNNNNNNNNNNNNNNNNNNNNNNNNNNNNNNNNNNNNNNNNNNNNNNNNNNNNNNNNNNNNNNNNNNNNNNNNNNNNNNNNNNNNNNNNNNNNNNNNNNNNNNNNNNNNNNNNNNNNNNNNNNNNNNNNNNNNNNNNNNNNNNNNNNNNNNNNNNNNNNNNNNNNNNNNNNNNNNNNNNNNNNNNNNNNNNNNNNNNNNNNNNNNNNNNNNNNNNNNNNNNNNNNNNNNNNNNNNNNNNNNNNNNNNNNNNNNNNNNNNNNNNNNNNNNNNNNNNNNNNNNNNNNNNNNNNNNNNNNNNNNNNNNNNNNNNNNNNNNNNNNNNNNNNNNNNNNNNNNNNNNNNNNNNNNNNNNNNNNNNNNNNNNNNNNNNNNNNNNNNNNNNNNNNNNNNNNNNNNNNNNNNNNNNNNNNNNNNNNNNNNNNNNNNNNNNNNNNNNNNNNNNNNNNNNNNNNNNNNNNNNNNNNNNNNNNNNNNNNNNNNNNNNNNNNNNNNNNNNNNNNNNNNNNNNNNNNNNNNNNNNNNNNNNNNNNNNNNNNNNNNNNNNNNNNNNNNNNNNNNNNNNNNNNNNNNNNNNNNNNNNNNNNNNNNNNNNNNNNNNNNNNNNNNNNNNNNNNNNNNNNNNNNNNNNNNNNNUACUCUUCAUAUAGUGGAUCGGAGGGCUGCUCUCUCCCCCAGACUAGGUCAAUUUGGACCGAACUGGGUCAACAAAUUCUUUUGUGUUCUUCUCUUCUUUGUGUUCUUCUCGCCGUUGUUUUCUACUUUUGGCUUGUAUUUAUAACUUUCAUACACUUUGAUUUUGGUUGCUUGACUAUCCCUUACUCCACACAUCAAGUUGUUAUUGGUGUGAUUUUCAUCGAAUUCGCAACAAAAACUAUUUAUCCUCUCUUUAUGUAUGUUACUUUUUGUUUGUCUUUCAUGUGUGCAUGUCCUUAUUUGCUUCUAUUUGUAUAUCCCUCUUUGCUUCUAUAUGUCCUUAUUGGUUUUAUCUCACUUUACUAUAGAUCACACUUAGUUUUAAUCUAUUGUCAAUUUAUCAAACACUUACACAAUUGUGUUCUUUAAUAUGAUUGAUUAAUUGCUUUUAGGUUUAGUUUGAGAUUGUACUUGUUUUGUAACUUGUGUGAAAUUUAUUAAUAUUAGAUUUUGUUAAGAUUUAACUUUGAAUCUCUCAAUUCGAAGUGAAUCUUAUAAUUUGUGCAGUCUUAAUAACUUUGCCAUAGUCAUUGGACCUUGUAUAAAUCCAAUACGUCAUAAAUCAUUUUCUUCAAAUCGCGUUCGCUACAAACUCGAUAAAUUUUUAAACGCUAUUCAUCCUUCUCUAGCACAUAUUACCUUGUCAUAUCGAUCAACAAUAGUCAUUUUGCGCCCUAAAUGUGUGACGAGUAGUCACAACAACCCCUAAAUGUAUCAAAAUUUUCGAUAAGUUUCUGAUUAUGCAUAAGGGGUGGAAAUCGACUAAUCCUGACCUACUUAAAAAAUUAUAGGCCUGAGUCUGGCCUAUUAUCCGUCAUAGGCUCAUUUUCAAGGUCUGGCCUAGCCUUUUUAAAGGCCAUAUUUUACACUAAGGCCUAACAACACCUAUAAGCCUAUUACUAAAUAGAUCAAAACUUAUGAAGGCCUAAAACACACGAAUGUCUGCUACUAAAUAACAAAAUCUUACGAAGUUCUAAUCGCAUCAAUAUACCUACUACUAAAUAACCAAAUCAUAUGAAGGAUUCAGUUUAUGGAAGAAAAAAAAACUUCAACAAUAUUAAUAAUGGAAGAUAUAAUUUAUAUAUAAAGCUUAAUAGGCCGACCUCACGGACUUAAUAAGAUUUUUUGUAAGCCUUAGCAUAGCCUAUUUAAGUAAAUAGGCUUUAUAAAAAAAUCCCUAGUCUUGCCAUUUUAUUAAUCGAUCUGGCCCGAGCUAGGCUUUGAAUAGGCUAGGCCAUAGGCUCCUGUCGGAUGGCCUGGCCUGUUUCCACCCCUAAUUGUGUAUUUUUAGUCAAAUGAGUCCCGACGUUAAAAUAGUCCAUCAAUAUUGACAAUAACUCUUUUCAUAUAAUGACUAAUAUGACAAAGUAAGUACUUUAAAGAUUUAUAACAUUGUAAGUAUAUUUAGGGACUGAUAUGACAGUAUUAACGAAACAUCUUCAUGCAUUGAACUAUUUUUGACUAACGAGACGCAAAAUCGAUUACUAUUUUGAAAUUUCGAUGUAUUCAAAGAUUAUUGUGACUACUUGUAACAAAUUCAGAAACCAAAAUGACUAUUACCCAAAAUAUAAUGAGGGUACAUCUGAAAAUGUUCAAGCAACAACACUGAAAUGAAAUGAAGCUUCAAGAUAAAAGCAACAUUUGCAACAAAAAAAUAAAAAUAAGGGUUGAAUUAAUGCCUGAUGACCCAUAUAUGUUAUAAUACAUCGAAUAACUGUUCAAACGAGUGUGAUCUUAAGAUUUUGUUUGGGAAUUGCGAGGGGAAGGGAUUGAAGGGUUUUGGAGGGAUGAGAUUAGGGGAAAAUAGAAAAAUCUUUCAAAAAAAAUACGAGUGUGUUUUUCUAGUAAAUGAUAAAAGAAUACUUUUAAUUGAUGUAUUUUUAAUUUUGCAAGUAUUAUAGCAAUAUAUAUUGGAUUUAAAAAAUUUACCCAAACCCUCCAAAACGCUCCAAAACCUUUUCUCAAAUACAAUUUUUAAGUUCUCCAAAUUACAGGGGUUUUGUAUUACGACGAAAACAAAGUCCCCUCCUCUUAAAGCUCUUCAUUUUUUUCACUCCCCUCCAAACUCUCAAAGAGAGCCUAAGACUACUCAGGUAAUGGUUGCUUUCGCACAACACCUAAAUGUUCUUCAUAUGAUGCUUGUCUUUUGUUUUCUUUUUCCAAUGAUAGUAAAGCUUAGGUGAGUUGGUCUUACUCACCAUAACCAAGGCAAGGAUCAAAUCUCAAUGAGCAUUGGCAGUGAUACUUAAAGAUUACUCAUCAAUGACAUUGUAAAGUGGUCGGUAAAAGUUAAACCCAUUAAGAUAUAAGUUAAAUCCUUACCAACUAAAACAACUUAAGUUGCUCAUAUAAUGUUUACCUGACCACUUAUUACUUGAAGUUAAAAAUAUAAUUUAAACAUGCAUGUGAGAUCGAUUUAUCUUUCUUUUUUGUUAACCAAGGUAAUAUGCAAAGAUUGAUAUGUCUUGAGAUGACUAAUAUUCACUUAAAAGAUUAACCUCUUCCAACAUGUCUUUUUUCCAUAUACACCAAUCUUAUAGAUUAAUCUAAAACAAUUACCUUAAUAAUACAUAAAAAAAGUUUCUUUGAAACAACUUGUGUUUGAUUUAUACAAAGCACAUAAACACAUUAAUAUUUUUAACUAAUGAUAUUUAUACAACAAUUUUAUGACAAUUUUUGUGACAACCUUCUUUUUCUCCCAUAUUGGUCAAACACUAGAGAGAGAGUAUGAAAGAGAAAAUUAUUCAAAAACAUAAUAAGUAUGAGGUGGCAUUUAAUAUAGGAAAGGGUAAAACUUUCCCACCAUGGGAAAGUUAAUUUGAACCACCAGAUCAAGUAAAGAACACACAUUUAUCAUGGUCUCUCAACACUAUAUUAUUCUUCUACACCAUCUUUCAACACUAUUCUUUCUCCUUCAUGUCUCCUCAGUCCUCACUAACCCACCACCACCAACAUCAAAUCUGCCAUGCCAAUUUUUUUUCUUCCAAGAAUUAAAAAGCACAGAGAAGCUAAAAAGAUACCCUGAGCGAACCGAAUUUUGGAUCUUCAUUUCGACCCAGAUAAUGGACUAUGUUCUACAACACAUUCAGCCACCUCAAUGACUUUCUCACUACAUCAAUGUCACAUAAGCAAUUUUUUUUUUUAGCAAAGCAAUUCCAUAAGCAUUAAAGAGAACAAAAACCAUUUUUUCCAUUGUUUGGUUUUAAUGAUAUCAAAAUUGAUUUUUUAUUCUUUUUUGCAAACCCAGAUCUAUAAACAUUUAUAUUCUCUACUUUGCUGGAUUUUGUUUCUCAUUUUUUUUUUCCAAAGGGAAUUGGAUCCAUGAUUUCAAUAAAAAUGUUUGAAAAAUGAAAGAGUAAGCCGUGUUGUUAUGAGCAUUUUAGAAAGUGAAUGUUUGAGAAAUUUGGAGUCAUGGGUAUAUGAAUGGAUAUUGAGGAACAAGCUUCAUGUUAUGGUGAAUGUUAUUGUUGUUGAUGAUGUAGAACAGUUGAGUUGAUGUUCAAUGUUUCUUUGAAGAGUUUUUAACUUUUAAAAUUGUUGAGUUUUCUCUUGAUGAUUGAAUACAUUGAAGGAUAGAUGAUAGGAUAACAGUUGAAAUAAUUAUCCAGUAUUAAAAGUCUACUAUAAGACACUGUUUUUGAUUUAAUCUGGUGGUUCAAAUUGGUGGGAAAGUUUUAUCAUUUCCCAUGUUAAAUACCACCAAUGAAAGAGAAAUUAUUUCUCUCUAUUCUUAUUGGUAAAAAAAAAAAAAAAAAUAGAGAAAAUAAGAACACAAUGUAAGUAUGAGAGAGAAAGUUGUUUAAAAAUUGUCACAAAAUAAUUGAACAAAUAUUAUUUCUUUUAGGUUAAUGCUAACCUGUGUCCGUUAAGAAAGCCAAAAGAGAAAACUUUAAACAAGAGGAAGCGUGUAAUGCAUUAAUUACACAACUUUGAAUGUAAAUAUUAUCCUUUUGAGUCGUUAUUUAAACAUUUAAUGCAAAUAUUAUUAUAUUUGACUUCUUAACUAGUGCCCCGGACCGGUUAGCAUGACCCUUUCUCUUAAAAUAAUGCUAUUUUGUUCAUCUGUGUCCAUCAAAUUCAUUAUGGCAUAUACCACAUUGAAUAUGAUCCAUUUUGAGUGUCGUGUCAAUAUAAUGGAUAGAUAAUUACAAAACAAUUAAAAUUCACAUUCAAUGUAUGCACUCUUCUCUCUACACAAAAUUGCCGAAGGCUCCAUUAGCCACAUAAGUAAGCUAAACUACACUACACUAUUGGACAAAUCACAAUAUAUUUUACCAUUUCAUGCUACCAAUUACUCAAAGUACUUGAAAGAUAGUAUGAAACUAAAAACUUCAGUAUCUUCUGCAAUAGACGUCUUCAGCAGAAGUUGUUCUUCCUCCUUAAAUAUAAUCAAAAAUCAAAUCAUCAGAAAAAGAAAACAUAGAUGACACUACUGACAGCAGAUGACUAAAUCACGCAAGAAAGCACUCCAUUAUGUAAAGCAUUGCUUUGUUUAAGGUUGGGAACAAAAUUUGAAUGGUAUAUAUUUAGGGCAUGUUUGGAUUAGCUACUGACAUCUCUUUGGGAGAGCUUAUGGAAACAGCUUAUGAUAUGGUCCAUAAACUGUUUCAGCUUAUUUUUAUAAGCUCUCCAAGAUAGUUCAUAUGGACUUGCAAGUUACAAUAACACCUCAAUACUAUUAAUUUGAACCAUGUAGCACAGUCCUAGCUUUUAAAGCAAUAUAGAUGAGUUCAUGUGAUAUGCCAAUAUAGUACCAUACUAUGAUUUGUUGACAGAACAUUAGAAGAUUAUAAAAUAGGAAGGUAAUUAAAUGUGGGUAAACCAUAUUAGCAUGAAGUCGGGAUGUAUGGCACCAUACAACCAAAAAUCAAUAUAGCAGCAGCAAUGUAUUUCAAUAACAGGAUAUUUAAAAUCAAUUAAGAUCAAAUUCUCAACCAACACUUACAUAAAAACGUUAAAAAAUCUUGAAAUAUCCACGACUUUUGGCAUUAGUUGAAAUUAGCUUUAUCUAUCUACAUUCUUUUGGAAGUUCUCUCAUUUAACUUGUUCAUAAAGACCUACUUAUAAGGAUUUUCUUAAAGUGAAAAGGUCCCAUGAGAUAAAAGCAAAACCAAGCCGACCGUUAAUCUAGAUGUACAAUAUCCGACAUGGAACUAAAUAACUAAUUGAAGAAAAAUGAAUACCUGCCUUCACCAGUGCUCAGUAUUGGCGGUCCAGUGCCUACCAGCACCAUGACUUCUCCCCCAACCUGCUCUCCCACCAUGGUCUCCUCCAUCCCAUCCACCACCGUGAUAGCCACCUCUGCCACCACCUAUACCCUGAUAAUCACGUCUCGGCUUUGCUUUUACAACUGACAACCAAUAAUCUCCAAUGGCAGUUUGAUCAAGUUGUAGUGCUUUCUUAUAGCCAUCAAUAUCCUUGAAGUCCAGAUGAGCAAACCUGUGAAUUUUGAAUUUUGAGAUUGGAAUGCAAUACACUCUAAUUCUAGCAGACAUUGUAUUUCAGAGAUUUCCUGCACAGCCACUUAUCAAUCAUCGUUUAUUUAAGGAGGAACAUUCAUUGCACAGGUCGGAUUUGCAAAAUCAAAUUGCAGACAAGCAUGUGGAUAUAGUGCAAUCCUGACAAUAUGUUGAUAAGCUUGUCCAAUGUAAACUUAGAUCGAUAUGUUAAGGGUAGUAGAUCAAGACAUUGACAUGCCAAAAUAUUCAAUAGUACAUCACAGGUUACAGUGGAACGAUAGACAUACCCCUUAAUAUUACCAGAAUCAUGAUAUCUUGGCAACGAGAUCCUUGUAAUCUCUCCGCAAGGACUGAAAUGUGCUUUCAGGCUAGCUUUUAUCUGAAAGGCCAAAGCAGGCAAUAUUUACAGACCAACACCAUGCAAAUAUGCAAUGGAGAGAGAGCAAUGCAAUCUACUCCGGGAGGAUGCAACCAAAUACCAAGAAAAAAAUUAACUACCUUUUCUUCUGCAACAGAUGUAUCAAAUCCAAUCACAAAUACAGUUAGAGGCUGAAAGCUUUCACCCUUCUGGAAUGAGAUGCUCAAGCUGCUUAAAUUGUUAUCAAGGAAACAGGAAAGAUAUGUAGAUAUAAGACAAGAUAUUCAAAUGAAUCAAGAUUAACUAUUAGUUUGCUUGUGCCAGAAAAAAAAAAAUUGAAAAUAUUUAUAAUAAUGAGAAAAGAUUGUAAAUAAAAAUAUGACAUUGUAAGAAAAAAAAUUCCAGUAAAAACAAACACCAUAGAGAAGUAACACAAGAAAAAGCUCUAAAAAAUAAAACAAACAUUAUUAUUCUUAAGAGUCACUAAUAUUGUAUAAAUGAGAGAGAACACAAUGCAUAUGCAUGAGACAUAAUGUACUCAAUCCCUAUUAACAAAUAGAAUCAAUUAAAAAGUGAUAGUAUCGAAACAAAUACUACUAUAUCCCAACUCCACCACGAACCCAACCCCCUCAAUGUCGAGAAUAUACAUCCUAUGCAUCCAACUUGCCACAUAAGUAAGUAAUAUGAAGAUACCGUAGCGAUUUAGUAAAUGUAUCUUCAAGUUGAUCCUCGAAAUUAAAAAAGGAGGUUCUAAUGACUCUAGAAAGAACCCUUUCUAUAAUGAAAUGAUGAUCAACUUCUAUAUUCUUUGUCCUCUCAUGAUAAACAGGAUUGAAGGAAAGGUGCAAAGCUUACGGGUGAUAAGACACAAGUUCCAUAGGAUCAAGAAAGAUAAGAAGGUCUUAAACCAAAUGGUGACAAAUACCAUGGAAGUAAAGCCUAAAUUAGAAGGAAUUGAGCCUAAAUUGGUCAACUACAUAAAUCCACGUGAAGAUGACAUGGACGCACAAGAUGCAGCUCAUUUGCUUUGUUUUUAAUUGGUUCAAGUUGUAAUAAAAUAGUGAACUGAUGGGAAUCGCUUGGCUUGUAACCUACCAAGUCAUAAAGAAGUGACAAAGGCAUUACAGAAAAGGAGUUACGCUUGUCACUAGUAAGGGUAAUUAUGUAUCUGUUUCUUCCACUUUGUAACAACCAGCAAUGAACCCUUUCCUUAGCUAUAUAUAUGUAUUCAUGCCAGACUUGGGGAAAAAGUUACUCCCUCCGUCUCAUUUUAGGUGUCCCAUUUGAGUUUUGCACACUUCUUAAGAUGAUGAUUAGUUGUGUUGAUUUCAAUGAUGAAAGGUUUCAUUUACUAAAAUACCCUUAUUAAUAGUAGUUAGUGGAGUAGCUAGGUGAGUUCAGAUACAAUAGAUAAGGGUAUAUUAGUGGAAAAAAUAAUAAAUGCUGCAUUGGUUUCUAAAGGGAUAAAUAAUUGAGACAGAAAUAUUGCAAAAUGGACACUUAUAAUGAGACGGAGGGAGUAGUUGAAUUUUGCUGAAAAUAUACCUUGUGUAAGUGUAAGAGUUUUGACUCUUUGGUUCUGGAUCGGACCAUCCAUUUUGAUCUUAUCAAGAAACCAGGUUUUCUUGAGGUGAUCGUUCCCCAGGAUCUACCAUUCAUCUUCUCCCUGGAAACUUGAGUGUUGCGCCAUUCACAAUCCUAUCUUCUCCAUUUUUUGUUAUUUCUUGUUACGAUUCUAUCAAUCUUGUACUUAUAAUUCUACCUCUUUAAAUUUCAUUAUCAUUUCAGUUCCAUCAACUUCAUCAUUUUCAAAUUACUUAUUUAAAGUUGCCAAUGAUAAGCACAUUGAAUGACAAACCAUUCAUUUGGGUACUCAUCACUCGACUUUUGAACUCGACCAGGAAAUAUCAGUUUGCUUUUUGCUCUUCCAUGAAAUCAGACCUCCGCCCAUGAUUAUGCAGUAACAAGAAGUAUACCCCCUAUCACUUGCAUCUUCUGCCCAAUUGACAUUUGUAUACCCAACGAGUGUUGCCCCCUAUCAAUGAAAACAAGCCCCUUUCCAAGGUGACCUCUUAUAUACUUCAGAAUUUGAACAAUUUAAUUUUCCCAUUAAUCAUCAGUAUCUAGGCUUCUUUGAUUAAGAAUGAGCUUUACAUUAAGAUUCAUGAGAGUGCCAAGUGGUUUACAAUCUAUAUGACACGUGUCCUCUUGAAUAAUAAGAGUAUACUUCCUCUAAGAAAUAACAAGACCCGACUUCGAUUGAGCUGUCUCAACCCCAACGUAGAGGAUCCAUGUCCUCAGUUUGAACGUCUUAAACAAGUUUUGUUUCAAUGCCUUGAUACCCUCAUAAUCGUCAAUUGUAACCACAAUGUCAUCAACAUAAACCACUAGGAAAUAAACACGAACACACAUGCGGCUUAACCUACUCGAUUCCUAAUAUUAGGGAAUUGAAUCAAUUAAAAAUGGGAUAGUAUAUAAACAAUACUGUGCUAAAAUAUCUCAACGAUUAUAACAGCAUUUUUUUUGCCAAACUUGUCCAAAAUCAUUGUAAACAAAGGGUAUGUAACAAUUACCUUCUAUUGGGGAAACAUUCACCCUCUCCUGGAGCUAUACCAACUUUGAUGGGACGGUUCGCAAAUUUUGUGUGAUCCAACUGAAGAGCCUAUGAUAAGAAAAAAAAUUGAUUAUUAGCUUAGUUUGUCUUUGCAUGGAUAAAUGAAUUCAAUGUUAUAACCAAAGGGCAUUGAACAGUGAUAAAACUAUAUAAGAGAACCUAAACAUACCAAAUGUCAACCCUCCAUAUGUCCUACACAAAAUCAUAGGGUUGAAUGAUGCAUGUAGCGAUAAGCAAAAGUGAGAAAAGGCAUGGUUGUUAUUUAUUAUGCACAUAUAUUGAGGCCAGCUUUAGAAUACAUAACCACACUGUAGGAUAAGAAGCAGUAUACAAGUUGCAACUUAUAUGACAACACUUGAUCAUUCCACGUAUAAACAAAAGAUAUAUUAUUAUUUACAAAUUACAAGUAACAAAAUACUUUAAAAGGACCAUGGAAAUCAUACAUUUUGGAUCUUUAUUAUUCGAGGUACGAUACAUAUUUUGCAGAACUGAUGAGGAAUAUCCCCUUUUCCAUUGCAUAGUUAUGUACUGGUGCACUACUGCUUUAACAUGGUAUAUAGUCACAUUUAUGAUGCCAAUCCAACAUUAGAUUCCAAUGAUGAUAGGAAUAUACUUGAACAAAACCAUGUUCCAUACCGUACCUUUAACUACAAUAACAAUAAAGCCUCAACCACAGCUAAAUAUAGGGUUGCAAUUUGUUUCAAUAAUCAAACAUCAAUAAAUAUUAUAGAAAAUACUGGGAAUGAGAAAGACAUUACAAUAAAAUCAACACAUUCAAAUUUUUUACCCAUACUAUAUAAAAAAAGUAUAGCUUCCAAAAGUACAACUAUCCAUGGAAUCCUAUUAGCAGUUCUAAAAUGAUUUGUAAAGACUAUCCAAGGUCAAAAGACUUGCCUUUUCUGCUGCUUCUGUGGUUGCAAACUCAACAUCCACAUGCACACGGACAUCAACAACUUCUCCACAAUCUUUGAAAAUACUUUCACUGAAAAACAUUUGAAAUUAAAAAAAUUAACCCGAUAAUAAUCAACAAGAACCACUAAGAAAAUCAAUACAUACAUUUCAGCCCGUUGCACAUCGAAUGACAAAUUUCUAACGCAUACUGUUUUUGAUGCAUCAUUUUUCUCUUUUUGGGUAGCUGGGGUUUCAGGCUGCAAAAUUUAAGGAAUAACAUUAUAUCACUGAUUUGAUAUUUUACAUUGCAAUAAGAGAGGAUAUUGGUCAAUUACAAGUUUAUUCUCAGCAGAGGCAGCAUCAGCAUCAGCAUCAGACAUCUGUAUAUCCUUAACAUCCUUUGCACAAGCCAACUAUACUCCAAUAAAGAAGUGAACUUGUCAGCAGCAUUGACAAGUAGAUAAAAUAAAGAUAAAAACAUCGAUAAAACCAUGUGAAUAUGAAAAAAAGAGUGAUUUGUCCAAUCUUGUGCAGAAACUGAUGCAACAAACUAAUAUGAUAGAGAAAAAAUUACCUUGUCUUCGGCAAGGGAUGUAUCAAAACACUUCACAGGUAUAGUUUGAGACUGAAAUCUUUCAUCCUUAUGGAAUGAGCUGCUCCAGGUCGAAUUGCUUAAAUAUUAAGGAAAGAGAGAUAGGAAGAUGUUAGUACAAGGAAAGAUAUUAAAAUGGAUCAAUAAAAGUUCAUAAAGGCUCUUUUCAUUAUGCUUGAAAAAUGCUUUAAACAUCAAAAGAUGUGUACAAAAGAUUUUAUAAUUAGCUAAGGUUCUAAAUAAAAUACAAACACCUCAGAAAAGACAGUUUUAGUAUUUAUCAAAAAACGAUAAUAAUUAAAAAAAGUUAUAUCAUCAUAAAGGUGCUAUUUUCCCUCGAAGCUUACACACAUACACCCUACGAGCAAAAAAAAGUACAUAAAUAAUUACCUUCUAUUUGGGGAAUAUAUACCCCUUUCAAAAGCGAUACCAACGAACAUAAGACGAUUGUAAAAUACUUUCUUAUUGAACACAAGAGCCUACAAUUAGAAAAGAAAAUUGAUUAUUAACUCAAUAAGUCUUUAAGUAAGAAGAAUUGAACAAGUGUUUAAGUAGGAAGAAUUGAACAAGUGUAAGCAUAGACGAUGCAAGAGGAAUAGCAACACAGCGCGGGGGUGUUGAACCUUUAUAUGUCAUUAUUUCUCUACACCGUCAUUUACUAAGGGCAGACAAACCAUACGGCCCCAAUAGGAAAGUUUGUUCAAAAGGUUAUACGUUAAAAUCCAAUUUGGCCAAAAUUCACCCCUCGAGGAAUGAUUGAUUUAUCAUAUGUUUUAAUGCUAAAAGGUAUCCAAUGGAGUAAAACACAGUACCCACAAUGAACAACUGAUUAAAUCAUAAUACAGUGUAUCAACGUAAGCUAUCAAGCCUAGUACAAUGUACCAGAUGAGUCCUAAAAUAGUGCAAACACAUGGUGCUCAGUGAUGCAUGGACCCAAGUAACAAAACCUAGUGGAAAAAAAUGUGAGAGCACAUUGCAGUAAGUGACAAGCAUAAAGCAGUAUAAGAGUUGCAACUGAUUAAAAAUAAUGUACCAUUGCAUGAUUUAAAGUUUUAUAUUAAGUUAUUUGACGGUUAUUAAUAAUUCCACAAGCUAUAUAUGAUACAUUUAUAAUAAAUUAAAUACAAAUCAGUGUUAUCAACCCGGAUAAUGGAUAGUAGCAACUGACCCCAAAAACACCAAAAUAAUGUAUCUAUUUUAAAUAACCCAACCAGAAAAUCUAAUAUUUAAAUGUUAAAGACUGCUUUUUGAAUGUUCAAUCUCAUUCAAAAGUGUGGAGCUAUCUCGCCGCGACAACUGCUAUAUUGGUCGCUGCACUAAACUGCUCAGCUAAUGUGUGUCUAGUAGCGGCCCAUAGUGUGCUACUUACUAAACUGAUACAAAUAAAAAAAAACUACAACUCAUGUGCAACAAAGGUUUUUAAUUAAAUCACACACUCAUACAGCUUGGGUAUUACUAUUAGAGGUACAAUAAAUUUUUUAUAGAACUGAUUCGGAGGAAUUUCCCCAUUUACAUUGCAAAUUCAUGAAUCUCCCAUCAACAAAUUUUUUAUAGAACUGAGGAAUUUCCCCAUUUACAUUGCAAAUGCAUCAAUCUCCCAUUCACAAUAACAAAAAACCCAUACAUUCAUAGUGUGUGUUAGAAGUCACAUGUUGUGUAAUUAGUCAUAUGUAAAAUAUCCUUGUGUAAUUAGUUGCUAAUGGGAUUGGAAUUAGUAAUCACAUUAAUUUUGUAUUAAUUGUAAAUACAAUAUAAAUGCAACCUUUGUAGUCUCAUUAGAGACUCAGAAUUUAAAUUAUAGAAAAUUACAACAUGAAUAUUUAUGAUGCUAAUGGACAAGGUGCUAUGCUUCUUGAAAUCAACCAUGAACCAUACCAUGCUCAUCAUAAUUUCAGGCUGCAAUAUCAACAAUAAUAAAUCCUACACCACACCUAACUGAAGUAGAAUAAGUAGUUUCAAGAACUGUUCCUGUACAGUAAAAAUUCUCAAGUCUCACGUCACUUCGGAAUCGAGGCAGGGUAGUUUUAUAAACAGCCCCCACACUACUCUAUCCAGCGAGGUGCCUUUUACAAAAGACAACCGUGAGGGCUUUACAUAAGACCCAAAACAAACAAUACUUCAAAAAUGCAGUGUCAUGGACCUAAGGUCGGAAAAUUGGCGCACCAAGUAGGGGUCGAACCUAUGUCACACUGGAGGACUGACAGACCCUUUAGCCCCUUGGCCUCGAUUGCAGGCUACAGUGCACCAAAAAGUCCCACAUUGUUUCGGAAUCGAGACUAAGGGUAGUUUUGAAUAACAUCCACGCUUCUCUACCUAACGAGACGCUUUAUACACAACCAUGAAGGUUUUACACAAUACCCAAAGCGGAUAUCACCUCAAAAAUGUGUUGUCAUGGAUUUGAGAUCAGACAGGAACCAAAUUAAAUCAAUAAAUUCCAUCAGAAACUCAAGGAAAGAAAAAAGUAUUGGAAUAAAAUAUAACUGCUAAAAUUUUAUCGUAAGUAUAUAUGAAAAGUAUAUGGCAUUAUUGCUUUUUGGCAGUUCUAAAACGACUUGAACGAUCACUAGUCUUACCUUUUGUGCUGCAUCUGCUGUUGCAAACUGAACAUGUGCAUGGCCUUUAAAUUUCCCUUCGCGAUCUGUAUGGAGACGAAUAUCAACAAUUUCUCCACAAUCUUUGAAAAUAUUUUCCCUGAACAAUAAUGAAAUUAGAAUAAUCAAACAGGAAAUAACGCAGUAGUAUCAACACAAAAAAUUAAACGAUAUAUACGUACAUAUCAGAUCGUUCCACAGUGUAUGACAAAUUUCUGACAUAUAUGGUCUUUGAUGCAACAUUUGUUUCAUUUGGUGUAGCUGGGCUUUUAGGCUGCAAAAUUCCAGAAAAAGUAACACAAAACUGAUUAGCAAAUUGAAAUUGCAGGAAGAAAGGAUAUUGGUCAUUUACUACUCUCGUUUCAACGGAAGCAGCAUCAAACAUCUCCAUGCACAUGCAAUAUUUACUGAUUAAAACACUAUUUUAACCAUGAAAAUAUGAAAUAAGGGGAUCUUUAUGCAAUCUUGUGGAAGAAUAUACACAACAAAUCAAUAUGAGAGAAAAUCACCUUGUUUUCUACAAUAGAUGCAUCAACAACACCCUUUACAGUGUGAGGGUGAGACUGAAGAUUUCCACCCGUAUGGACUGAGCUGCUCAAGUUGCUAAAAUUAUUAACAAGGAAGUCAGAAGAUGCGGCAUAAAGCAAGAUAUUUAAAAGAAUCAUAUAAAAUAUUUGGGGCUUGUUUGUUUAUGCUUUGAAAAACUCCUUUUAAUUUCAAACCGAAUGGUCUAAGGAAGGACCAGGCCUGCAAAGGCCUAUUGAAGGAAGUUUUAACAUACAUUUGUAAUGGUCUAAUAGGAAGAUUCCAUGAAUAACAUGUUUUCUAAUUAAAAAAACAUGUUACCAAAAUUUAUAAAGAUAAUAAAAUUUGUUAGUCAAGAAAAGAGCAUAAAAAUGUUCUACUUAAAAGGAUCUUUUAGUGCUUAAACAGAUAUAUCAUUAUAAAAUCAUUUUUUUACUCGAAGCUAAUCAAACACACCAUAUGCAAAAAUAGAAGAUAUAUAUAAUUACCUUCUACAGGGGGGAUAGCCGCUCUUUUCUAUAGCUAUAUCAACUCUCAUGCGACGGUUCAAUAAUUCUGUACUAUCCAAUUUAAGGGCCUGUGAUCAUUAAAAAAAAAAAAAAAAAACUCUCAACUCCAUAUGUCUUUGCAUGGGGCAAGGGUACAGCAAACAUACCCAUAGCUGAUGCAAGAGCAAUCUCAACGCAAUCAAUAUAAGAGCGUAUAAAACAAAACCUAGACAUACCAAUGUCAACACCCGACAAAAACUAAAUGUUAUGCAAAGACACGGGGUUGGAUGAUGCAUAUAGUCAACGGCCCCUACUAAGAGAACACUUGGUAGUUAUUGUAUUAUGGACAAAUAUAGAGGAUAUAUGGCCAGCCAAACAAGCAGUAUAAAAGUUGCAACCAGUGAACCUUUUAAACUAAAGUACUGCUGCAUAUAAAAAUGUUAACAUGAAGUUAUACAACAAUACUUCUUGAUUCAACGAGUCUGUUACGGAACCACGUUAUUAAAAUGCAUUACAUUACAUUACUUGAUAAUACAAACAAGAAUAAUAUUUACAAGAUGUGCAACAAUGUCUUCUAAUAAGAUCAUGAAAGAGAUUUCCCCUUUUCAAUUGCACAGUCACGCAAUUAUAAUUAUAGAACUAGAGCCAUAAAUACAUGUAAUCAAAAUUGCCCAGAUUACUUAAUUACAUAAUUACGAUAUUUAAAAUAAUUAGAACAUUAUUAAUAAUUCCAUUGGAAUACUGCGAAUACAAAAAACUCAAGUUGUUCAAAUUUUACCCUAACAUAUAUGAAAAGUAUAUGAGGUUGUCACUUACAAAGUUUUCCCCUAACAUAUAUGAAAAGUAUACGAGGUUGUCGCUUACAAAGGCAAAACUAUCUUUGAAUGUUUUUUGCUGAAAAAUGAUUUGCACAGACUACAUCAGGGCAAACACUUACUUUUUUUGCUGCUUCUGCUGUUCCAAACUCAACAUAUCCAAAGCCUCUAAACCUCCCUUCGCGAUCUGUGUUGAAACGAACAUCAACAACUUCACCACAAUCUUUGAAAAUGUCUUCCCUGAAUAAUUUUGAAAUUAGAAACAUAAUCCAAAACAUAAUCGACAAGAAGUUGCCUGAAAAAUAAUACAUACAUAUCAGUCCGUUCCACACUAUAUGACAAGUUUCUAACACAUAUUGUCUUCGAUGGAGCAUCUUUUUCGUUUAUAGUGACUGGGGUUUCGUGCUGCAAAAAUCCAGGAAAUAAUAUCACAUAACUGAUUUGGUGAUUUGCAUUACAGGAAGAAAAAAAUCACUCAAUUACAACUUUCAUUAAAAAUAAGGCAGUAUUGAAUAUUUUAUACAUCCUUAAUCUCUUCCAUGUCUACUACGCCUUAAUAAACAGAAAUAAAAAAGAUAAAAUAUAUUAUGAAGUGCUUACCCUUUCCUGAUGCGCUUCGGAGACUUUUUCCUCUACUUCUUCCCCAAUAUACUCUGGACUCUCCGAAUCAUCGGGCUACAAUGAAAAGAAAGGCACUAAAAUCGUAAAAAAUCUGCUAAAAAAUAAUUAUAUGUACAAAAGAAGUGUUGCACUGUUCAACAUCAGAAAGCUAUCAUCCUCAUCAUCUAAACUAUCAGUAUCACUAGAAGUGUCUAUUUUAACAGUUUAAGUCAUGUUUUUCAACAUCAGAUGCAGCAUUCAUGAAGAAAAAAUAAGAUAAAAAAGCAAAUAAAAGAUAAGAGCAAAUAACAAAAUUCUAUACACUAAAACUUCUAUCUUUAUCUUUUGUGCCUCUUCAUCCUGAAGAUCAGAUCCAUCAUCCUUACAAAUAAAAAAGCCAAACACUAACUUGGUCAACCCUCAUAUAAUGGAUCAGAUGGGAAAUUAAUACAUCAAAACAAACCGUCUAACGUCAUAUCACACACACACCUGAGAUGCCCCCACCAACAACUGACUGAGUCUUGUGACUCUUGAUGAAGUCAGAUGGGUUUAAGUAGCACAUCAAUACCCUACAAACUAAAAUACACCGUCUAUUUUCUUCUAACUGAAUUAUGCAUGAACAUUGAAAAUAAUUUGAUUUUCAUUUUCAAAGCACUAACUGAGAUGCCCCACCAACAACUGAAUGAGUCUUGUGACUCUUGAUGAAGUCAGAUGGGUUUAAGUACCACAUCAAUACCCUACAAACUAACAUAAACCGUCUAUUUUCUUCUAACUGAAUUAUGCAUGAACAUUGAAAAUCAUUGAUUUUCAUUUUCAAAGCACUAACCAAUGUUUCUUUACACAUAUAUAACAGCACAAGAAUCAACCACCAACAUUAGUCAAUAACUCAGUACUUACAUUAUCCUCACCAGAGCUUCUGUGAGAAUCAGAAUCUGAGAUAACAUCAUCCAAUGAUUCUGAAGGACCACAACCAGUAGCAGAAUCGUUUUUAGCUUCAAGUUUCUGAACACAAGCAAAAAAUAAAUCAUACCCAGAAUCAACAAAACAGUAACAUAAGAUCUUCUUUUAUAAAAAUAUAUCACUAUACAGAUAUUGGAAUGAUACUGAAGCUUUGAUAAUUUAGAAGUUAAAAUGCUAAAUAUACGUUUUUGUUCAUGAAGCAAAGCAACCCAUUUUACUCCCAACUUUGGUGGAAAACACGUUAGAUAAUAAACUAAACCCUAUCAUUUUAAUUCAUAUCGUAAUCGCCAUGAUUUCUGUCAUAACAUUACCUUAUCAUGUUCAGAAUCAUCUGAAAUAAUUUCCUCCUUAAUCUCUUUCAUCGUAAUCACUUCCUUCCGAUCUUCAUCCUCACCUAUAUAACAUUACAUGAUUAUUUUUAAAUUAAAUAGAAACAGUAGAUAAUAAACUAAACCCUGGUGCAAAAAAUCUAAAUCCUAAACCCAAAUUGACAAAAUGAAGCAACUAAAAGAGGGAAAAAAAAAAAAAAAAUUUACCAAUUUUCAAAUAAUCUGAAUCAGUUUCUUCCUUAAUCUCUUUCAUUUCAACAACCUCCUCUAUCUUCUGCUUCUUUGUAAUCACUUCCUUCUCAUCUUCAUCCUCACACUGCCUCUUACCUAUACAAAUUUUAUUCAAUUUUUUUAUUAAAUUAAACAAAAACAUUACAUAAUGCAAAAAUCAAAAAAAUUAAAAACAAACUUGACAAAGAAAAUCAAAUAACAUAUGCACAAAAAAAAAAAAUCGAAAAUUUACCAAUGUUUGGAGGUGGAAUUGGAUUAUCACAAACCUACAAGAAAAAUGGGAAAAUGGGUUUAGAUUACUUAUACAAAGUAAGAAGAAAUUGAAGAAUUAAGAGUGAAAUUGAAGGUAGUGAAAAGGAAAAACGCACUUCGGAUUCAGAUUCAUUGCUCAUUGUGGCUUGAAUUUGAGUGAAAUUGCGAGAGAAGGUAGAGAAUUUGGGGCUGAUUUAGCCGUUAGGGUUAGGGAUUUCUGAUUAUGAACAAAAGAUUUAGCAAAGUUGUGAAAUUGGAGAUUCAUCCAAAGAUUUAAAAAGAAUAUAUAGUUUUUUUUUUUUUUUUUGAAAGAAAAAAUGAAUAUAUAGUUAAAUUUUAACAAAAUUAUUUUUUAUAAUAAUUAAUAAAGUUUAGAUGAAUUAGAUUCUGACACAUAAUGAAUUAAGAUACUGAAUAAAUUCUUAGAUAAGAUUGAAUUUGAUUGAAUGAAUUUUGAUAUGUAAGAGUUAUUUGUCUUUAGGUGACUUGAGGUUUAAAUGUGAGAGAGAAGCUAAAAAAAAUAUGGAGGGAAAAGAUGGUGCGGAAAAUUAUAAUAAUUGAUUUAAGUUUAGAUGAAUUGAAUCAUGAGACUAUAGUUGUUUGCUUUUAGGUGACUUUAGCUAUGAGCAAUUUGGAUUUGUAACUAUAAUUGUUUGCUUUUAGGUGACUUUAGCUUUGAAAAUGAGAGAAUGUGAACAAACAUGGAGGGAAAAGACCAGAGAAAACAAGCAUGGAAAGCUAAAGAACAAGUAAGUAAUUAAGUAAAUUUUUCUUUUAAUAAAGGUAGAAGAUCCUUAUCUCUUACAAUAUUAAGUUAAAUGAGUGAUAAGUUGUGACUAUAUUCUUUUAUUAAUUUAGUGAGAAUUAUUUUUAGUGUUUACUUACUAAGUUAUUAGUGUAGUAAUUAAUAUAUUACCGUCCGUUAAUAGUAUUUUACCGUUGUGAGUGUAGAAACAUUUUAGAACUGAGUUGGAGUGGGUUAAGUCCACUAAGGUUAGGGUUAAGCCCAUUAAGAAAAUAGACUAUAUAAGACUUGUUUUAAGAGAAAAUAUCACUCAUUUUGCAUUAAAUAGAUAUUUUGAGAGAGGUAGAGAGAGAAAGUGAAGGAAAAGAGGAAAAAGGGUUAGAGAGAAGAAGAGCUUGAAGAUUCAACAAUUGGUAAAGAUCCUAGGAGCUAAAGUGAAGUUUGGGCUAGGAAUUGGUGAUAAUUAAGGUAAGGGGGUUAGAAUUCAAUCAUAAUCAUUUUAGUGUAAUUUUUCAAUUAUUGUAUGAUUAAGUGCUUAAUUUAGUAAUUGAUUAAUUGUUCAUAGAUGAUGAGAAUCGUGCUCUAAUUAUGAUGAUAUGUUUGAAUGCAUGAAGUUGUUGAUAAUUAAAUUGUUGUCGUUGAAAUUUCAUGUUCAAAGUAUGAAGAAGUGGUAUAUGUUGAAUUAUGUUAUGUUGUUGUUGAAUUAUGGUGAAAGUCAUGCUCAAUUGAUGUUGUUGUUGCUAAGUGAUGUUGUUGAUGUUGAUUCAUGGCUUGAGUAUUCAUAAUUCAUGAUUUGUUGAUGAGAAAUGAAUUGUUGUUGGCGGUUUUGUGAAAUUGGUGAAUUGGUGCAAAUGUCAUUUGUUUUCAAGUUUGUUGUGUCUUUGUGAAUCAUUUAGUUAUAUUGACCUGUAAACAAACUCUGAAAACACAUUUGGGCAUUGGGAGAUCAAAAUUGAGAAUUUUGGGUGAAAAUGGGUUGAAACCCGUAAAAAAAUUCUGCAGAAUUAUGACUGUUCGCUUAAGCGAACAAUCACGGUAGGUUCUGUGACUGGUUCGCUUAAGCGAACUUUUGCUGUAACUUUUGGAACUUGUUCGCUUAAGCGAACAAGGUCGUCGUUUAAGCGAACGAGUCCAGUUUCAGCCACUUUUAAUUUUUGUUCCGGGCUUAGGGGGGCCAAUCCGAGCUUUGUAAAAUGAUUCUCUCAACUUGUUUAACAUCUGUUUGAACUCCUAAACCUCCUGGAACAUGUUUUGCUCAUUCAAAUUUGAGAUUUUCCAUUUUGGGUUGAAACUUGGAUAUUUUUGGGAAUUCUGGAUUUUGUCGAAUUGAACUUUUAGGUAAGACUUGUAAGGUUGGUCAAACAUCUUAAUCAUGUUAAACGUGAAUUUCGGGUGGGAAUGUGGAAAAUUUUAACUUGGGUUUUAUCAUACGAACUUAACCUAUUCUUUGAACUAAUGCCUAAUAGUUUGUAAGUGGCUUAAGCUCUUGACUACAUGAUUGAUUAAGAUCGUUUGGUGAGUUUUCAAACUUUAUAUUGUUACCUUACUUGAGAGUUAUCAAUGUUGACCGUUUGCCACUUGAUACGGUUUUAUCGAAAAUGAUUCCUUUAAGUUAAUUAUCUUAUGACCUUUUGUGACUAGUUUCAUAUAACUACAUGAAGAUGUGUGAAUGAUUUGUUACAUGAAGGAUAUGAUAUUUAUCAUGUGAUGUUGUAUGUUCUCUUACUUGGAAUAUGAGAAAUAAAUGAAAUGGUGAGAUUAUAUGACAUAGUUGUUCUUGAUGAUUAUGUGAUAAUGUGAUGAUGACUCUUAUUUGAAUUAUGACUUGAAUGUUGUGUGGACGUAAUUACUUGAUAAUGCAAUUGUUGAGGAGAUGAUCAAUAUAUUUGGAAGAUGUCAUUUAUAUUUUUGUGAAAGUUUGGAGGUGAUUUGCAUUGUUGAGUCCUUACUUGUAUGUCCAUGCAUCAUAGUCAUGUUGAGUCUUGUAGUUGUAAAAGGGUUAAGCUCUUUUACUUCGGUGAUUAUGUAAGACGGGUGUGAAAUCUUACAUACGAUGUUUUUGUUGCAUCGAAGGUGACGACCUUGAGGUGAUUCGGUACCACAUGCAUUUAGGUGUCAUGUUUAGGGACAUAUCAUUUGUUGCAUGAGUCCUAAAUGUGUGGGUUGUUGUAGGAGUUAUGGAAAAAAAAUUAAGAGAAAAUUACAAUCGCAUGAGCAAGGAUCUAGUUCUUAACAACAACAUGUUCCAUGUAAUAUGAAAGGGUAAUCAUCGGAUCUUGGAAAGCGGCCUAAAAUGUAAACGUAUCAUUCUAAUGAUCAAGAUAUAAUACACAAAACAUAUUUGCAAAGAGGACUGUGCCCACCUAUUUAACACAAGUUUACUCAAAGAAAAAUUGGAAAUUCAAUAAGAUUGUGUCCCUCUUGGUUUAAUGAAUAUGGUAAUCGGUUAGAGUGCAAUAUCAAAAAAGUCGCUGCAAUUUUUUUUAUGUUGCUAUCUUUUUAGAUCUAAUUUUGGAAAUCAGUCUGGUGGUGAUACAUUGAUAACAGAGAGAUUCAUAAAAUGGAAUAAAAAGUCUCACUCUCAUUACAUGUUGGAGGGGGCUAUAAUUCUACUCAGAAUAUUGCUUGGAGGAAAUAUGGAGAUUUGAUGAAACAAAAUCACCAUAUUGAAGUUUUGAUGUCUAACCAUUCUCAAACAACUCAUAACUUGUAUUGAAGGUGGUUGACAGCCUCAAUUGAUUGUAUUAUACUUCUAUUGAAGCGAUGAUUCCCUUUUCGUGGUCGUGAUGAAUCAAUAGAAUCUUAUAAUCAAGGAAACUUUCUUGAAAUGCUUAGAUGGUUUGUGUAACGUCCUAAAUUUUGAUCCAAGACAUUACGUCUAACUCUUUCUUUUUAGAAAAAAUAAGACUAUUUUUUCCAAAAGUCAAGCAUAAUAAAUUCAUAACUAGAACUUAGAAAAAUAGUUAAACUAAGUUAAUUACAAUUCAGAAAACCUAAAUUUGUUCCCCGAGUACACGCUUCAAGCAAAACACCAAGCACACAUCUGACCUCCUUUGGUACCUAAAAUGUUGGUUUUAAGGGUUAGUCUUCAACACCCAUGAAAUAAAAUCAAUGAUAAAAUACAACAUCAAUUAAGAAUAUACAACCAUCAUCAAGGAAUUGUGCUAAAAUCAUUUCUUUUUAGUUUAAAAUAUUCAUCACUAUAAAACAUGCUAUAAGAACAAACACAAGACCCAAAACUCAAUGUUGAUGAUGCAGAUGCAUGAAAUGCAAAUAGACCAUGAUCCGGAUAUCGCCCCAAUUGGCAUAAUAGUUUUAAUCGUCCCAUUUGACAUAUAAUAAAGAAUCGUCCCAUUUGUCAUAUAAUAAUAAUCGCCUCAUUUGGCACUUAAAAUCAAUUGAAUCGCCACAUUUGGCAUAUAAUAAUUUUCCCAUUGUCCUAGCUCAAUUGGCAAAAAUGCCGAUAUUGUUAGACCGGACAUCAUGACCGGGGUUCAUACCUUCACUUUGUUGCGUGUGAGUUUAUUAUGGCUUUGCCAUCUCUUCUAUCUACCAAAAAAAAAAAAAAUCGUCCCAUUUGGUAUAUAAUAAUAAUCGCCCCAUUUGGCACUUAUAAAUCCAUUGAAAUAAUAAUAAUCGCCCCAUUUGGUACUUAUAAAUUCAUUGAAAUAAUAUUAAUCGCCUCAUUUGACACUUAAAGAUCCAUCAAAUGCAAUGAUAUGCAUGUUAUGCACUCUUUCUAUAAACUACAAACUUUUCCGACUCUUGAACCACAUAAUUAUGAAUUUCACAUCAUCACUAAACUUCAAAAUCAGUAAACUUUAACACAACCACAUAUACAACGAAAAUCACUUUAACUCAACAACAUUUCUCAUUACACAAAUAAGAAAACAUCAAGAUUUACACAUUCAUCAAAUCACAUACUUUAACAAAAUUGCAACUCACCAAUUCAUAUAAUUAUCAACUACAAGAAAAUUAAUAAAACAUAAUAAAUCUUUUCACUCAUCCAUGAAUCAAGAAGUAUAUCAAAUUCAACGUCAUAACCUAUCAUUUUCACUUAAAUCAUGGUCAAGACUAGAACCCUUACCUUACCUUAGACGCUUUCCUUCCAAGCAAAACUCUAAACCUGUGUACAUGAUUAGUCUUUUCCUCCUCUAAGUUUAUCCUCCAAAUUUGUUGCCACAAUGCAUGUACGAUUCUUCACACUAAUUAUAGGUAGUUUGAGAAACUAUCUACCCACGUUGACACACAUUCUUGUUUAUAUUAUUCCUAUAAUUAAGGAUGACCAGCACAACUAUUAUUUUCUUAGUUCAUUGCAUAUGCCUAAAUGAUUUAUGUUCGUUACAUCAUGUGUGGUGCAUGUACUGAAUAUUGGAUUCCACGUAGUAAGGCUUUGCCUAAGGAUUUCAAUUUUGACCUAGUAACAAUUGGUUACUCAAUCCCCCAAUAAUUCUCAAGACAAAUUAACAUACCACUUAAUUCAUCACACUUAUCAUAAAAUAAUCACCUAUUAAUUAAUAUAAAAUGAAUCCUAUGAAGAAUGGUUAUUUUAUAAUAGUCACGUUGAUAAAUUAAAAGAAGUAAAUUAAUUAAGUAAUAUUUGGGGUUCUAAUUAGUUAAGAAAAUUAGUUUUAUUUUAAUUCUUUACACACAAGAUACGUCAUUAAAUAAAUAAUAAAUCAAGAACAUAUAAGAAAUACAUAUAAUAAGUGUAUAAAAUAUGGGGGCGUUACAGUUUGCUAACAGAAAAAAAAAGGUGGAGUGAGUUGUAUUAUAAAAUGCUCUUAAAAAUGAUAAAAUGAUUUGUCUGUUUCUUCAAAAGGAAAUUGUUAAUGUCGUCGUCGUGGAAACCACUAAAGUUAUUAUUGAGGAUCUUGGAGAUGAAUUGUUUGAUAUUCUUGUUGAUGAAUUAAGAGACGUAUAUAUAUGAUAAGGAGAAAAUAGUUGUUGUUAUGAGAUAUGUUAACAAAUAUGGAAGUAUUGUUGAGCGAUUUUUAGGCAUUGUUCAUGUUACAACUACAACAACCAUCUCAUUAAAAUUGCCAUAGACGAUCUAUUUUGCAAGCAUAGUCUUAUUACUUCAAGAAUUUGUGGACAAGGUUAUGAAGGGGCUAGCAACAUGCAAGGACAAUUUUCUGGUCUCAAAAGUUUGAUCUUAAGAGAAAGUUCAUAUGCAUUGUAUGUACACUGUUUUGCUCAUAAAUAUUAACUUGCAUUGAUUGCUAUUUCAAAAGAUCACCUACAAGUUAACUCUCUUUUUAGGAAAGUAACUACUUUAACAAAUGUUGUUGAAAUCCUAAUUAAAACAAUAUGAAGUGUUUUAAAAUCAUUAUAAAAAAGACAAAUAAUUUCAUCAAAAGUAACAAAUUUUAUUGAUUAUUUUGAUAUGGAAAAAUAAUCUCAAAAAGAUAACUAAAAAGAGAUGACAUGAAGUAUUUUAUGUCAAUCAUACAAAAUUCAUGAAUAAAUAGUCUUGAUAUAUAAAUUAUUACAACAAACAUGAGAAACAUAGAAAAUUACAUCUUACAAAGCUUGGACACAAUUAUCCUUAUUCUUUGCUAUGAAAUUAUUAUCUUACUCUUAAAUUUCAUAAAAUUAACUGCUAACAAUAUAUCAAGAUUCCAAGUUACUACUAAGUAACUUUUAUUAUUUAUAAAAUUCCAUCACUCCUGACAAGGCCGAGGCAUCACUGCAAGCCACAUGAAAUUUGGAAAAUCCAGCUCUCUUACAUAAGCUCUCAAAUUCUUCUUCAGUUCUUUCCUUUCCAGUUGUUACUAAAAACAUGAGAUUGUCAAUAGCACAAGCAUGCUUAGACAUAUUGCUAGGGUUUGGCACCUCUGGAAUUAUAUAAUCCAAAACAAUCACCUUUCCAUGUUUUGGUAAAGCUUUGUGACAAUUUUUUAAGAACUUCACACAUUCUUCAUCUGCCCAGUUAUGACAUACAAGCUGAAAUUAAUAAAGAAAAAUAAAAUUAUUAGGGAUUUUUUUUAUGCUAUACCAAAUUGUAUAAAUUAUCUAUUUUAUUUAUAUCAUUGUAGACCAACCUUUAGUACAAUUGCAUCACCAGUUGGAACACUUUCAAACAUAUCUCCUCCAACAUGCUCCAGCCCUACAAACACAAUAAAAGUUUAUGGUAGUUCCACACAACUCCAAAAAAAGCAGUUUAUGAGAUGAGGAUUGUCCUCGUUUAUAAACAUAUUGUCAGACUAUCUCUUAUCCUUUUUUUUUAUACUCUCGUUAUUAUUAUAAUAUUGGAAUGAAAUUUAUUUGAAGAGAUUGAUAUAUUUUACCUGGAUGAGAAGGUGCAUUUUGAACAACUUGUGGCAUAUCAAAAUUAAUUCCCUUAAUUGAAGGAUAUUGAGAGAUAAUGAGUUUUAGGGUCUUUCCUACUCCACCUCCAACAUCAACCAACGUUGAGACUCCUUCAAAUCCUUUAUAAAAUUGAAGGAUCCUUUUAAUUUCCAAUGGACCAGAAUGAGCCAUUGCUUUGUUACAAGUAUCAUUCAAUUCUUUGUUUGUCUUGGUGUAUUGAUAAAAUGAUGUCCCAUUGAUACUUUGGAAAAUAUUUUUGACAUCAGGAUCCAAAAUUGCAUCCUUUGCAUCACCCCUGCAAGAGCACAAAAUCAUAUUAUAAUUUUUUACCAGAAAAAUAUACAUAUUUUCUUACUAUUAGUCCUAUAAAUUUUUGUUUAGGUUCCAAAAUAUAUAUAUAAAAAAAGGAAAUGUUAACUUGUACCCUAAGGGCACAAGAUAAAAAUUUUAAAAUAGAAAUAAACAAUAAAUAUUGUAUUAAAAAUAUAAGUUUUUAAACUUUUAAGAUUAUGAAUGCACAAUUUUCGAAGUUAAAUUUCUUUCUUUAGUUUCUUAUCUUGUGCCCUUAGGGACCCUAAAAAAAUACUUUUAUAUUCUAUGAUUCGUUUUAGUCUCUAUAAUAUUUGUAUAUGCUUUUAUAAAAAACAAAUAUGUUUGUGUAUAGCCAAAAAUGGAAAGAUGUCUAGACAUUUGUUUUUAUGUAUGAUGGUUAGUCCAGAAAUAUUUGGACCAUUAAUUAAAUUUGGAUUCCCUGUUGACCCAAUUUGUUGAAUUUUAAUUGGAGUUUGUCCCUACCAUCUCUGGCGAAAAAUACUUAUCGAUAACUUCUUUUUCAUUCUUUUUUUUGAACAAGCCAAAAUGAGAUAUAUUAACAACAAAAAGUUUUGCUCCCUAGCAUAAGGAGUGCAUUAAAAAACUUCUUUUUCAUUCUAAUAACUAUUUCUCUAUAAUGGGGUUAAUAUCCUCCACGAUAGCUUAACUUAAUUGAUAGAAAUAUUGUAUCAGGUGUACAAGGUCGAAGUUCGAACCUUGAACAUUCCACUUGUUCACUUGAAUUUUUAACCACUAAACUAUUUGAUAAAAAAGAUUAAGUUCCUUGUCAUUUGUUAUUCUCUAUUAUUUUAGUACCAUAGUUUUGAAAAUACAAAUUAAAAGAUAUUUUUUUAGACAAAAUUUAUCCAAAAAUAAAUUUUGGACACAUCGUAAAAGACCUCCUUUAUGACUGAUUAGGACUGAAAUAAAAUUCUCCGAAAUAGUGGACAGUCAACAAGCAACAAAGGCAUUAAGCAACAAAAUAGUGGACAGUCUCCAAAAAAAAAUAGUGGAUACUAGAGCAUCAUUUGGAUGUAUUCAGAAAUAUAUGGACAUGAAAAUAAGUUAAAAAACAGUUUUGAAGAAAACAUAAAUUUUCUUUAACCAUCUUUUAUUUAUACAUUUGAAAAAUGGACAUGAGUAUCUGGUAAUGAUUAAUUUCAAAGUUAACAAAUUGCAUAUUAACUAAAAUAAAAGUGGAAAGAUUUAGUUCAAGUAGUUAAUGAUGAGUUUCAUUAAAGGACAAAACGUUUUGAAGAAUUUGAGUUCGACUCCAAAAUGAAACAAUUUAUAGUCAUAGUUUACUUACUUCUCGAUUGAACUUCAGAUUAUUAACACCUCAUUUCCCUAAAAACUAGUGGAUUAACACACAAACAAAAUAGAAAGAUGUUGAUGAAGUUAAAGGGCAGCUUUCAUAAUUUAUGAAGUUUUGUCAAUUUUUUUUUAUAAAGUUGAAAAAUACUAUAAUAACAAUUAACAUAUUAAUAUUUGCUUAUAAUAUAAAAAGUAAAAGCAAAAAGAUAAUUUUUUUUUUAUCUCUCUUCAAGAUUGUAAUAGGGUUUCAACUCGGAACCUCCGGAAAAUGCCUGAUAUCUCUAAAAUAAACUUUACAACAAAUUACUACAAUUUAUCGUUUUUAGGCUUUGCCUUCUUUUGAACCAAAAAAUUACUACUAUCUAUAACUUCAUAUGGUCGAUUAGUGUUAAAAGGUAAAAAUUCAGAUGCGCAAGUUGCAAGUUCGAACCAGCUAGUCCUCUAGAAUGAAGAUAAAUGUGAACAAAUUAGUAAGUAUUUUAUGAAUUAUAUGUUUAUUUUAAUGGUUUGGAUUCAAUUUAAUUUUUUUUUUGAAGAACUUCAAUUUAAAUUUUUAUUAUUAAAAAAAAUUACUUACCAAACGCUAUUACACCCUCUAUGGAUUAAUGUUGAGAGUGGAGCCAAAGAGCCUCCAUCACUAUCACAUGCAAAGUAUUGACCAAUUGAUGAGAGAGCAUAAACUCUUUCUCUCUUACCAUCUUCAUUGGUACGAAUGGAACAAGUGAGAAGAGAGUAACUAGCCAACACAGUCAACAUACGUUCAAGCCUCUCAGCCAAUUCAGGGUGUUGAUUUGGAAGCUCAGAAGCAAUUUCAUAAGCAGAAAAACUAGAAUGUUCAUUUGAAUUUUGUAACUUAGCUAUGAUUUCAAAUAAAUUGAGAUCAACAGCAGCAUUUAGUAUAGCAGGAAAAACCCUACUAAAACAUAAUAACAAUGCAGAAAGAUAAGCAUCAUCAACUUUUUCUACCUCAUUAGUAGCAAGAUUAUUUUGUUUAGUAUUGGAACUCAUUUUUGCUAGGUUCGAUCUAUAUGGCACACUUCGUUUGUUUGUUUGUUUUUUUUGGGUUAUUUGCUUCAACUUUGUAACCCUAUAUAUAGACACAAUGUAUCCGUACAUAUAUAUCAAUGUUGCUUAUUAAGACACGUAGGAAUCCAAUUUGUCUAAUCUUUUUGUGCACAUUUUCAAACAUGUGCAGGUAGGUGAGGAAAAAAAAAUUCUAUUUAUGGAAUUGUCUGGUAUGAUUUAUUAGGUAUAGAUCAUUCUUUUUUUAGAUAAGUCGACAUAUAGCCAUGCAUCUUUACUCAAAUUAUGGAAAAAAAUAUUUUUUUUCUACUUUAAGCUAACUCCCCUCUACCGUUCCAGAACUGAUAUUUCUCUUAUCUCAACUUUCAUUCAAUCAAACGAAAGAAGAUAAACAAACAUUUUUCAAAAGUGUGUGUGUAUAUAUAUAUAUAUGGGUUUGCUAGAACAUACCCACUAGUUUUUAUGUGGGAGUGUUUUAGCGCAAAGUUACACCUUAAGGUGUAUUUAACCACUUUUUAGUUAUUCAAUUGCUAAAAUACUCCUUCUAAAAACUAAGUGGGUGUAUCCUAGCAAAUGCCUAUAGGAUUUGCUAGAACACACCCACUUAUUUUUGUUAGAAGGUGUGUUAUAGCAACAUACACCUUAAGGUGUAUUUAUUAACUUUUUAAUUAUAACUUGCUAAAACACUCCCACAUAAAAACUAGUGGGUGUGUUCUAGCAAAUCCCAUAUAUAUAUAUAUAUAUAUAUAAGAAAUUUAUAGACUUCAGCUUGAACAUACAACUCGGCCAUCUAUUUUUCAGUUUAGCAUGAACUAUGUGAGGUGACUUGACGGCUAAGGUAGCUAGCUUAGAGUUAUAUUCAAUCCAUAAAUGAUGUCUGAUGGACGAAUUGACAAGUACGCCAAAAUGUAACAAGUAAUAAAGUGAUAAGUUAUCGUCUCUACAAGGAUUAUCUUUCAAAGAAACUGUUAAGAGUUCCACAUCGGAUAGGACAUGGCCUGGCAAUGUGUAUAUAAGUUGGGGUAAUCCUCACCAUUUAUAUCGGAUCAGAUGAAGGCGACCAAGAAUUCGACAUAGCUUUUGGCGAAGUCAAAACAUGGAGGUUGGCAUAGCUGAACUAAAACCAGGGCCUCCAUAUACGUGUAAAUCGUUAAACCUCUCUAAUGGGAACAAUCCUAUAAAACCAAGUAAUGAAAGAUAUGUUCCAAAAACAUAUACCUUCGACGUAACCAAAUGCUACAAGAUUUAUGAUCUCUUAGUUGCUGAUGGUCAAGGGGAAGUACCCAAGGUUUGAAAAUCCCACCACUAGAACAACGUCAGAAAAGAGAUUUUUGUAAAUAUCAUAAUUUUUUGGGACAUAACACCUCACAAUGUUCCCUUUUCAAAGAUUUGGUUCAGAAGGGUCUCAAUGAAGGAAGAUUUAAGUUUGGAAACAAGCCGAAGCCUCAAAUGCAAGUAUGACUUUGAUCCUUUGAAGGAUGCGAGCAUGAUGUACACUAACAUUGCAGGUUGCAAUAUGGUCGAAGCGAUCAUUGAUGUUGUCAAAGACCUAUCUAUCGAAACGGAAGGGGGAACAUAAGCUGAUGUUGCAGAACAUUGAAUGGUGAACAUCACUAAAUAUGUAGAACACGUCGAAGAGACUGCUCCAGAUCCACAAUUCGGAUAUACUUAGGAUAUGUUUGGAUUGAGGAUUUAGGAGAGAAAUGGAGGAGAUAGUUUACUUUUCUUUUUUUAAUUAUGGACAUCAUAAAACGAUUUUUAGAAAAUUGAAUUAACAACAUGAUAAAUGAUCAUAUAAUACACAAAAAACACUUAAUUUAUUUAUAAAAAAAAAAAAAACAUUUUUCAUUGUUUGUAAUUUAAAAAAUAAAAAUGAGUCCUCCACUCUCUUUCCCUCCUAAACCCUCAAUCCAAAGAUACCCCAAGCAUAUCCGAAAAAUUGCUCUUUAGGCACAUAUAAUUUGCUCAGGCACAUCAAACCAAAGAAAAUACUCAACAUCAAUUAAUUACAAUUUGUUUUAAGAUGGUAGUUAUUUGUUAUUAGCUCCUUGUCAUAUACAAAUCAUAAACGGUAAUUGAUUACCGUUCUAGGCUUUUAAUGGUGAAAUCUAUCACUUUAAAAACGAUGACCCACAAGGCAGAAGCAAAUUUUGAAACGAUACUUUAAAGUCAAAACAAAUCAUAAUUCGCCAGUAAAGUGCAACUUUUCUACCAGUUGCCAUUUUCACUUUGUACAGAUUGCUGCAAUAUUCAACAAAAAGUUAAAUUACGCUUAAUACUCCCUCCGUCCCAAAUUGUAUGUCGCUUUAGAAAAAAAAUUUAUCCCAAAUUAUAUGUCGCUUUACAAUACCAAUGAAAUAUUUAUGUUACUUUUCCUAUUAUAUCCUUAACUAUUAAUUACUCUCUCUUCUUUCAAUUAUUUCAUUUAUCUUUUCCAUACCAUUUAUUAGGGAUAAUUUUGUAAAACAACUCAUAAUUUCUCUUCCCUAUGCAAUAUUAAUUACAUUUCUUAAUACAUGUGAAAUGGACAAAACGUCUUACAAUUUAGAACGGAGGGAGUAUUCAUCAACAUCAAGCUCAAAUAUAUUACUUAAAUUGGAAAAGAACAAAGCCUUACAAUGCAAAAGUCUUAAACGGAAAUUAUUAUCGUUCCAAUAUAUGACAGGUUUGAAAUGAAAAUUAAAUACCGUGUGAAAAAGAACAAUAAUUAACUACCAUUGUGGGCAAAUGGUAAUUAUUUGAGGGUAUUUUUGUUGUUAGUUUGAACUUUGAAGUGCAUGUGGACAAACUAUAAGCGUCUAAAGAACAAUUUUCCCACCACCCUCUCCCAUGUCGGCCCACUUAUUGAUGUCUACUAUAUUGUUUUUGAAAGCUCAUGAUUUUCUUCUUUAAAGUAAACUGAAUAUGGUAUUUCUCUCAAUUUUUUUAAUUGUCAAUUUUGCCUAAGAGUUCUAUUUAUAUUUAUUUGUCAUUUCAUUAAAUGAUUGAGUUUGAGUGGUUGAUGAAUUAUAAUUAAAGAAAAUUGUUUACAAGAAUUUGAGUUCGAAUCGUAUUUGAAACAAUAUGAAAUAUUUUAUAAGUGGAGGAAUGCUAGCAACACUCUCUUUUGAAUACUCUCUCUAACACUCACUUUUUUAUUGGAUGAAAUCAAUGUAGUACCUACACUUUGAAAAUGAAACCCACAUAUAAAGUGGUGAGACAUACAUUGAUUUCACCCAAUAAAAGAGUGAGUGCUCAAAAGAGAGUGUUGCUAGCAUUCAUCUUAUAAGUGUUACAUAAAAAAGACAAAUAAUUUCAUAAAAUGUAAAAAAAUUAUUGAUUAUUUUGAUAUGGGAAAAAUAAAGAAGUAAAUAUACAAAUACCUCUCGAAAUUAUAAAAUAUUUCAUUCCCCUCGAAAUUUAAGAAAAGACAAAUAUCCUCAUCAAACUGUAAAUUGUCAGUCAAAUUAGUUCAUUUAUCCAUUUCCUCAGUUAAAGUUGAUGAUGUGUCCGUUAAAUGACCAUAUCGCACUGACGCGUGUCAAAUGGAUAAUGACACAUCACAUAGGGCAUUUGUCCAUAAUUGUAGAGGUAUUUGCCCAUUUUUUGAAAUUCUAGGGGAGUAUUUCUCAUUUUUUGAAUUCACCAAUAUUUUUUCUUAAUUUUUUUAUGGAAUCGGAUUUUGCAACAGAUACUUUUUCCCCACUAUAUAACCUUACUUCAUGGAAAUUAUUACGUAUGCAUUGUUGAUCUAAAAUGAUUAUGCAUGCAUAUUAUUUGAAGUGUAUAAUAUGAUUUUUGUGUGUUUUCUUUCUUAUGAACAAAUUAGUUGGUUCACACUAAGUAUGUGUAUGUGUAUGCAUUGUUGGUCUAAAACGAUCGUGUACUGUUGAAUGCAAAUAAAUGUAUCGGAUAAAUUGUGUGCUAAUAUGUUAGUUUUUGUGACAAUGGAAUUUAUGCAAAAUCCCCUCUGAAAUUUGUCAUUUGCGUGCAUAAUGAACCAUGAAAUUGAGAAUAAAAAUUUACAUUGGUCCCUGUUAAAAAACUUUAAUAUGUGGCAUAACAACUCAUAAAAACCAACAUAGUAAUAAUCCUUAAAUAAGUUUUUAAACAUAACUCUUCAGUCUUCACCAUAAUGAUGUUCCAUCUAUAAUACAUAAACAAUCCACAUUGCAGACGGUAUGUAAUUUAUUUGCUAUGCACUUGUGAAUAUACCUCUGUGUGUGUUGUGGUAAUAUCUAAAUGUUUAAUAACUCAUGUUUAAUGUGAUAAUAUAUUAUGAUAAUAUGCAAAUAUGUUCAAUAACUAAGUUGUAGAAGUUGUAUAUUUAUAGGUUUAAAAGCUUGUUUAAUCAUUAUUUCUAUGAUGGCUUUUAUGAGUUAUUAUUGCAUAUAUUGAAGUUUUUUGAAUUAGGGACCAAUGUGAGUUUUUAUUGCCAAUUUGUAGGGCGUAUUUUGCACAUAAGUUACAAUUUUAAGGAGGAAUUUUGCAUAAAUUCCAUUGUCACGAAAACUGACAUAUUAACACAAUUUACCUCAUACUUUUAUUUCCAUUUGAUGAUACAUAAUCAUUUUAGACCAACAAUGCAUACAUACUUAGCGUGAACCAAAUAAUUUGUUCAAAAGAAAGAAAAUACAUAAUCAUUACAUACUCUUUUCAUGAAGUAAAGUUAUAAGGUGGGGUGAAAGUAUUAGUUGUAAAAUCCGAUUUCAUAAAAAAAAAAUGGUGAAUUCAAAAAAUGGGUAAAUAUCCGCUUGAAAUUUCAAAAAAAGGACAAAUAUCCCCUUAAAAUUAUGGGCUAAUACCCUCUAUGAUGUGUCACUAUCCAUCUGACACGUGUCUUUGCUAGGCAUGACAAUGGGGCGGGGUGGGGACGGGUUUUACCUUCCCCGUCCCCAUACCCGAUUCUCAUAUACUUAACCGUUACCCUACCCAUAUCCAACGGGGAUGAGAAAUUGAAUCCCAUCCCCGUCCCCGACGGGUUCGGGUAUCCCCACCCCAUCCCCGCAUCGAAUAAUUUUUUUUAAUAAAAAAUAGAAGUUUUUUUGCAUCACUAAGAGCAACUUUGUAAUACAUUAUCCAACAAUAUGCUCACUUUAACAUUUGUUAGACGAAAUGAUUUAGUUGACAAUUAUCAAACAAAAUAACAUGACAUAUCAACAUAAAGUAAUUUUUUACAUUUGGGACGGGUAUGGGUAUGAGUUCGGGGUGGGUACCUAUAUACCCGUGUGUUUUGAAAUCGGGGAAAAUUCAUACCCAUACCCAAACCCAGUCAAAACGGGGAAACCCGUCAAAUUGGGUUUGGUUCGGGCGGGUAACCGUGGGUAUGGGUUUUGUUGCCAUGCCUGGUCUUUGCCACAUGGUUAUUUAACAGCCACGUCAUCAACUUCAACGGAGGAAAUAAACGAAGAAACUGACUUGCCUAACAGUUUACGAUUUGAGGAAGGUAUUCGCCUUUACAAAAAUUUCAAGUGGGUAAUUGCAAGAUUUUCCAAUUUUAGAAGACAUUUUCCUGUUUACUUGAAAAUAUACUGAAAAAGAAAACUAAAAAAAAAAAAUAUAAGAUAUUUUAUGUCGAUCAUACAACUCAUGAAUAAAUAGUGUUAAUAUAUAAAUUAUUAUGACAAACGUGAGAAACAUGACAACUUAUUAUUUUUGGUUGAAGUAAAGGGCCUUAAAAAUUUCAUAUUUUAAAAUAUUGUAGAAUGUACAAAAAUAGACAGAUUGAUAUAUUUUACCUGGAUGAGUAGGUGCAUCUUGAACAGCUUGUGGAAGUCAAAAUUUACUCCGUUGAUUGAAGGAUAUUGAGAGAUAAUGAGUUUUAGCGUCUCUCCUUAAUUAAAGUUUUUUAUUGUGUGGGUUGUUGUAGGAGUAAUGGAGAAUUUUUUAAGAGAAAAUUACAAUCGCAUGAGCAAGGAUCUAGUUCUCAACAACAAUAUGUUCCAUGUAAUUUGAAAGAGUAACCAUCAGAUCCUGAAAAGCGCCUAAAACGUAAACAUAUCAUCCUAAUGAUCAAGAGAUAAUACACAAAACAUAUUUGCCAAGAGGACCAUGCCAACCUAUUAAACACAAUUUUCCUCAAAGAAAAAUUGGAAAUUCAAUGAGAGGAUUUUGUCCCUCUUGAUUUAAUGAAUUUGGUAAUCGGUUAGAGUACAAUAUUGAAAAAGACGCCGCAUUUUUUUUUAUAUUGUUAUCUUUUUAGAUCUAAUUUUUUUUUGAAGGAUUUUUAGAUAUAAUUUUGGAAAGUAGUGUGGUGGUGAUACAUUGAUAACAGAGAGAUUUAUAAAAUGGAAUAAAAAGUCUCACUCUCAUCGCAUGUUAGAGGAGGCUAUAAUUCUACUCACAAUAUUGCUUUGGAGAUUUGAUGAAACAAAAUUAUCAUAUUGAAGUUUUGAUGUCUAAGCAUUCCCAAACAACUCGUAACUUGUAUCUAAGGUGGUUGACGGCCUCACUUGAUUGCAUUCAACUUCUAUUGAAACGAGGAUUCCCCUUUCGCGGUCGUGGUGAACCAAUAGAAUCUUCUAAUAAAGGAAACUUCCUUGAUAUGCUUAGAUGGUUUGCUAACAAAAAAAAGAAGGUGAGGUGAAUUGUAUUAUAAAAUGCUCUUGAAAAUGAUAAAAUACUUGUCUGUCGACUAUUCAAAAGGAAAUUGUUAAUGUCGCCGCCGUGGAAACCACUAAAGUUAUUAUUGAGGAUCUUGGAGAUGAAUUGUUUGAUAUUCUUGUUGAUGAAUCAAGAGACAUAUCUGAUAAGGAGCAAAUAGUUGUUGUUAUAAGAUAUGUUAAAAAAUAUGGAAGUAUUAUUGAGAGAUUUUUAGGCAUUAAUUGUUCAAUUUACAACUACAACAACCAUCUCAUUAAAAAUUGCCAUAGACGAUCUAUUUUGCAAGCAUUGUCUUACUACUUCAAGAAUUCAUGGACAAGGUUAUGAUGGGGCUAGCAACAUGCAAGGACAAUUUUAUGGUCUCAAAAGUUUGAUCUUAUUAAGGGAAAGUUCAUAUGCAUUUUAUGUACAUUGUUUUGCUCAUAAAUAUUAACUUGCAUUGAUUGUUAUUUUCAAAAAUCACCUGCAAGUUAGCUCUCUUUUUAGAAAAGUAUCUACUUUAACAAAUGUUGUUGGGGGAUCUUACAAAUGGACUCACAUGCUUAGUUAGAGACAAAAAAUCCGUGUUAAGGAAACUUUGGAGAAUGGAGAAAUUGUAAGUGGAAGAGGUUUGAAUCAAGAAACUAAUAUGAAGCUUUCUGGUGAUACUUGUUGGAGUUCUCACUUUGCAACUUUUGUGACUUUGAUAAAUAGUUAUGUUACUGAUAUUCUUGAAAUGUUAAAAGAUCAUGUAUUGGUCAAAUAGAAGAGGUCAAGCAAAUAGUCUUUUAAUUCUAAUGAAUACUUUUGAUUUUGCACUCAUAUUACAUUUGAUGAAAAAAGUCUUUGGUAUUUCAAAUAAAUUGUCACAAUCAUUGAAAAGGAAAGAUUAAGACAUCGUCAAUGUUAUGAACUUGGUUAACAUCACAAAGAAGCAAUUACAAACUCAAAGAGAUGAUGGAUGAGAAUGUUUAUUGGAAGAGGUAAUUUUAUUUGAGUUAAAUAUUAUUUUAAACACUACAAAAUCAUUAGUUUUAAAGUUUAGUCCCUAUAAAGUUUUAAUGUUAAUUUUAGUCAUCCAAAAUAUUGUAGUUUGUAAAAAUAGUCCCUAUUUUAAAAACUUUUUUACAAAAAAAUGGAUAAUUUUAGUUCUCCAAAAUAGUUCAUAUAAAAUACAUAUAGGGACUAAAAGUGAAUUUUUUUUGUAGAAACUAAACUUAAAAACUUGUAAUUUAUAGAAACUAAAAACAUAUUUAACCCAUUUUAUAUAUUUUGCAAGGUAAUAUAUAUGUAUUAUAUAAAAAAGACAAAUAAUUUCAUCAAAAAUUACAAAAUUUAAUAAUUAUUUGAUAUGGGAAAAUAGUAUAAAAAAGAAGAUAUAAAGUAUUUUAUGUGAUGAUACAACUCAUGAAUAAAUAGUCUUUGAUAUAUAAAUUAUUACGACAAACAUGAGAAAUAUAGAAAGUUACACCUUUCAAAGCUUGGACACAAUUGUCCUUAUUCUUUAUUCUUUGCUAUGAAAUUAACUGCCGACAAAGUUACUAGUAAGUAACUUUUAUUAUUUAUAAAAUUCCAUCACUCCUGACAUAGCUGAGACAUCACUACAAGCCACAUGAAAUUUGGAAAAUCCAGCUCUCUUACAUAAACUCUCAAAUUCUUGUUCAGUUCUUUCCUUUCCAGUUGUUACUAAAAACAUGAGAUUAUCAAUAGCACAAGCAUGCUUAGAGAUUUUGCUUGGGUUUGGAACCUCUGGAAUUAUAUAAUCCAAAACAAUCACCUUUCCAUGUUUUGGUAAAGCUUUAUGACAAUUUUUUAAAAACUUCACACAUUCUUCAUCUGGCCAGUUAUGGCAUACAAGCUGCAAUAUAAGAGAAAAAAUGAUUGAAUAUUUUUAUUUUAUUUUUAUGUAAUACCAAAUUAAAUUUUAAAUUUUAUUUAUCAUGUAGACCAACCUUUAGUAAAAUGGCAUCACCACUUGGAACACUUUCAAACAUAUCUCCUCCAACAUGCUCAAGCCCUAGGAGCAAAAUAAUAUUUAUGGUACUUGUUAUUUUUGGCUUAAAAUAAAUGGCCUUAAAAAUUUAAUAUUUCAAAAUAUUGUUAAAUGUACAAAAAUAGAUUGAUUGAUAAAUUUUACCUGGAAGAGUAGGUGCAUCUUGAACAGCUUGUGGUAAGUCAAAAUUAACUCCCUUAAUUGAAGGAUAUUGAGAGAGAAUGAGUUUUAGGGUUUCUCCUACUCCACCUCCAACAUCAACCAAUGUUGAGAUUCCUUCAAAACCUUUAUAUAAUUUGAGGAUCCUUUUAAUUUCUAAUGGUCCAGAUUGUCCCAUUGCUUUGUUAAAAACAUCAUUCAAUUCUUUGUUUGUCUUGGUGUAUUGAUAAAAUGAUGUCCCAUUGAUACUUUGAAAAAGAUUUUUGACAUUAGGAUCCAAUAUUGCAUCCUUUGCGUCACCCCUGCAAGUGCACAUAAUCUUUUUUACCAUAAAAAUAUUACAAUAUUUUUUGCAUCAGGAUCCAAAAAUAUUACAAAAUUGCAUCCUAUAUUUACAAAAUUGCAUCACCCCUGUAAAAUUUUGUUUUUUGUUUUGAGAAACAAGAAACAAAUGCAAAAAUUACAAUACUUUUAAUUUACAAUUACUUCUCUAUCACCCAAUCAUUUUUAUAUUACCAUUUUAUCCAUGAAUGAUUAGUUUAAGAUAACUUUGUUUUGUGUUGGUCGUGUUCAUAAAAAAUACUUUUUGUGUUCUAUGAUUAAGUUUUAGUCUCUAUAAUAUAUGUAAAUGAUUUUCAACGGCAAAAUAGAAAAUAAAAUAUGUGUGUGAUGGUUAUAGUCACGUAAUAUUUGGACCAUCACUUAAAUUUGGAUUCUAUAUUGUUGCCCAAUUUGUUGAAUUUUCAAUAGGAGUCGUUUGUCACCUUUCAGAAAUAUAUUAAUGGAUUUUUCCAUCCUCGAUCUUAAAACCAUAUUUUUUCUAAGAUAAAUGCAAGAGAUAGAAAUAUUUUAUAAAAAAUUGUAUAUUUAAUGUUUUAAAAGUUUAAAUAACACUACUUAACUUGUGUCUGACUUAGUAUAACUUUGUUUAAAAAAAAUUAUCCCUCUCUAAAAGUAUUUUUCAGACGAAAUUUAUCCGAAAUUAUAGUUGUGUACUCUUCAUAAAAAGACCUCAUUUAUGUCUGGUUUGAUUGAAAUAACACUACAAGAAAAUCACUGAUUUGCUACGAAGAAAAUUGCAGCUAAGCGCAGCUAAUUUCUAGCAAAACUCUGAUGUUCAUUUGUUAAAUUGUUAGGACUGUCGACUCUAUUAAUUUUAGCCAUUGAAAACUUAAUAUUCAAAGAAAACGUGCAAAUAAAUUUAUAGUAUCUACCGAUCUUCGAAAAUAUUAGCAUAAUUCAAGGACCCUUUUGGUCUAAUGCUUGGUACCACUCUAAAAUUAUUGAGGGAGAGAAGUACUUUGUCUUCAUUAUAAAAUAAAUUUUACAAUAAAUUACUACUAUAUAUCUACCACUUUUAUAGGUUGAUUUAAUGUUAUAAAGAUAGGAAUUAGGUUCGAGCACCCCUAGUCCUAAAGAAAUAAGGUAAAUAUAUAUAUAUAAAUUUCGAUGUAACUGUUUUCAAGAUUUUAGGUUUCUUCUCUUUUGUCAAACCAAAAAAAUAAUCUUUAAGGUUUUAUUUUUUAUUUUUUUAACUUUGGACUGUGACACUAUUUUAAUUUCAAUUUUUGUUAUUAAAACCAAGAAAGUUUUAGGUGAUCACAAUUAUUUGGAAACAACAAUGAAUCACGUUCACAUGAUUGAAAAAAAAAAAAUUAAAUAAUAUGUAUUUUAAAACUAAUUAAAUGAUAUGUAUUUUAACGUGUUUGCGCGUUCAUAUAUAUUAUGUCUAAGUUAUUAUUGUAAACAUGCAAGUAUUUUUCUAAUAUAAAUUACUUCUAACUAGUAUACUUACCAAACACUGUUACAUCCUCUAUGGAUUAAUGUUGAAAGUGGACCUAAAGAACCUCCAUCUUUAUCCAAUGCAAAGUAUUGACCAAUUGAUGAGAGAGCAUAAACUCUUUCUCUCUUACCAUUUUCAUUGGUACGAAUGGAACAAGUAAGAAGAGAGUAACUAGCCAAUACAGUCAACAUACGUUCAAGCCUCUCAGCCAAUUCAUGAUGUUGAUUUGGAAGCUGAGAAGCAAUUUCAGAAGCAGAAAAACUAGAAUGUUCAUUUGAACUUUGUAACUUAGCUAUGAUAUCAAAUAAAUUGAGAUCAAUAGCAGCAUUUAAU
rnacentral:lncRNA from 1 species